ACAAAGAGCACUUCAAGGGUGGGUACUGUGCCACUAAGAAGACAAUUGUUGGCGAUGAGCUCAACGAGGACAACAACGACAACUUCUUUCACAAACGACCUAAGAAAAAGACAUGCGUAUGUACACUUCAAUGCAGUAAAGCCCCACCACCACCGUCAGAACCUGACGUGCCAGAGCCACCGGGUGAACCUGAGGUGCCAGAUCCUAAGAAGAAGCCGCCGCCGCCAUAUGUAUGUGAUGUGCCGGAGCCGCCCUCGGGAGAAAACAAGAAGAAGCUAGUGGCAGCUGCUGACCAGUGAGCAAAUGGUCUAGCCUGCCCGUCCGUGGAAAAUGAUUUCAAUAAGACAGGAAUUAAUCAAUGCUUACUAAAGCCUACGAAACCUUCCAUCCCUAAUUAAUCCCCUCCCCCUGAUUGGGCGUCGCAUUGGGGAUCGAUUUGGCCCCGAUCCGGCUUGAUGGAAUACAAGCCAUGCCCAUGCCACCCCAUGGACGCCCCUGACCGAGGUUGGGGCUUGCCGUGGGUGCAUCCGCACCGGCGCGGUGGCCUGCAGUCCCUACAACCAGCAUAAGCUCUGAAACGUGGGAAAGACGCAAGAUCAGAUGUUCCCCACAACCUGAACAUGUGAGCUAUGAUAUUUCUCCCGGCAUGUGUGUUGCUUCUGCUGGAUGAUGCUCUGUUGCCUCCUAGCUGUCGUCGUCUUUCCUUCUCUUGCUGCUCGAUGAAGUUGGUCGUGAUGCUAGCUUUGCAUGCUAUGGAGUUUCUAGUUUUUACUUACAUUGAUCUGAUUAUGUAUACCUUUUUUGGGGCAGGGGUAUAUGUAUGCCAGUAUACAUUAUUAAGUACUGGGGAGAAGAGGGGGAUGUAUUGUACCUCUGUGGAACAUCGUCUUUUAGCUGAAUCUAUAUGUUUAUUCAAUCUGAACUUGGAUGUUUUAUUUGGCUUGCACACCCCCUGUAAAGAAAUAUAAGAUCGUUUUGAUCACCAAACUACCUUGUGAUUUCCUAUGCUGCAAACUGUAAUUAGUUUUCUUUAGCUGCAGGCUUUGUUACUAUAGUUGGCUAAUGGCUAAUGCACUUAAUUGGGACCAUUUCUGGUCUGAUAAUAAAUGCAGGUAUGUCUAAUUUGGAUCUUAACUAGAGCACCAACGUAUGCUUCUAACACCUCUGAAAAAUUAUCGCAACUGAAGUAUUGGACUCAUCUAUAUAUGGACAUCAUUCUAGCUUACUCCUUUGGUACGUACACAUGACAACUGAGAUUGGAACCCCCUUUUGUAAUGAUAAUCACCAUAAUCUGCAAUUAAUUCAGCAUCACAUGGGAAAAUAAGUGGGGAUAUUGUCACUAAAAAAUAUUCCAAUUUUGUGGAGCUUGACUAGCUGGGAUCAAUUCUUGCAUUCCACAACAUGCUUUGUUACGAAGCAAUAACCCAUGUCUCCACAUGCUAGAGUUUCAGUUUCCUUGGAUGUUGCAAUGUAUAUUUCAAAACUUCAUCUGUGGAUUUGGUUUCGAUCACAAAGAAUUGGUAGACAUUUUUGCUAAUUUACUAGGCCCUUUCCAGCAGCAGAUUCCUUUUAAUGUAGAUAUGCCAUGCUUACAGUUUGACAUGAAUACUUCAUGUUGUGCUUCUUAGCUCUAAUAGUACUUUGUGUUUACUUAUACUAGCGGCUGGGGUCACUACUGGGAAAGCGAUUAUAGGUGAAUCCUAAUGAGUGGCGGGCAUAGUCGGUAACCCGCAACAACUAUUUUUGAAAACAAGCAGUGGCGGGUAGCAAACACUGUCCGCCACAGCUAGAAGCUCACUUUAGGAAAGGGGUUUGAAGAAAAUAUGUUGUCUGUGCGUUGUUUGCGAGAAUGAUGUUAUAUACACAAUUGAAUCGGGAGAGUUGCAUAAGCACUUGUUGGCUGGUGGUUUCAUGCCCGGUUAUACGAUAUGGACAAGUCAUGGUGAGGAUGGGAUGUCAUGUGAAGGAGCGGAACAUGACGAGGAACAAGAAUGGUUGAUGGAUGGACAUGAUGAACAAUCUGACGGUGAUGAAUACGGCGAGUCUGGUGAAGAGUCCGACGAAAGUGAGGAGGCCGAAAUGGAGGAGGCAAUCAUCUAGGGCAAAUUGGCGGGAAUGGUGCAUGAUGAACACAUGCAAGAGUUGAACAUGAAAGAGACUAGCACCGAGGCAGCUUCUCGUAGAGAGGCUACCAAACUGGCGACUCUUGUGAAGGACUUAACAGCCGCUUUGUACGGUGGUUGCAAGGCAAAACAGACACGACUAAGUGUCACGAUGAAUCUUAUGGACAUUAAGGCAAAAAACAAUAUCACAGACACUUCCGUCGAUAUGAAUUUGAAGUAUUUGCAUGAUGUUCUUCCUAAAGGCAACGUGUUGCCAAAAAGUAUUGAUGAGGCAAGGAAGGUAUUGUGUCCUCUUGACAUGGAGCCGGUAAAGUACCAUGCAUGCAAAAAUGACUACGUAAUUUACCGGAACGAGUACUCCAACCUAAUAAGGUGUCCAACAUGCAAUUUUCCACGAUUCAAGCGGGGAAACAACAAUUGGGAAGACAAUGAUGAUGGUAGAGCACCCGCUAGCGGUACUCCUUAUAAGUUUGUAUGGUACUUCCCAAUCAUUCAACGCCUGAAGCGUUUUUAUGCAAACAAGAAGCAGGCAAAGCUUAUGAUUUGGCAUUCUAAGAGGAAUAAGUAUGACAGAGUGAUUAAACACGUUGCAUAUGGUCGGCAGUGGAAAGCAAUCGAUGACGAGUUCCCUCAUUUAAGUGGAGAUGAUAGGAAGCUGGGCUAUAGUGUGGAUGGUCUGAAUCCCUUUAGUAACCAAAACAGCGCACACAACACCUAGCCCGUGGUUGUCUGCAUCUACAACCUUCCCCCAUGGGUGUGCACGAAGAGAAAGUACACAUGGUCAUGCCAAUUCAACAACCAAGCCAACUGGGUAGUGAGUUGAACAUGUAUAUGUAACUACUGAAGGAGGAGUUAGAAAUUUUAUGGGCAGAUGAGGGGGUGUGUACAUAUGACGCUAAAACGGGUACGUAUUUCGCUAUGAAAGUUGUGCUGCUCACGACGAUGGAGGACUAUCCGGCAAACGGUUAUAAUUCAGGUCAAGUUUGCCACAAGAACUGUGCAUGUGUUAGGUGAAUGGAUGAAACUCAUUCUCUAUAUCUGAAGGCCUCUCAUAAAACAGUUUACAUGAAGUAUAAGUGAUUGAAAAGAAACAUUUUGACAGAUUUAAUUUCUAGGCUUCUAAAUAUUGAGAUUUUUUAUGCACUAUAUACGGAUGAUUUAUUGUAUGAUAUACGACACGUACGUACAUGUUAGGGCCAUCUUAAAGGAGCUCUUCUUACCCUCAGCUAUUGGACCUCCUCAUUCGGUUAUGAUCUAGUACGAUGACCCUCAUCAGGUGUACUACUACUUAUAGUUCAUCGGAGUUUCUAUUCGUGUAUGGGUACCUAGAUGACCUGUCAUAUGUUCCUUAGCUCCACAAUCUCAGCGACUGAUAUAUCUUGAUAUUUACUUAUCAGACGUAACGUUAAUUGCUGACAUCAAUGUCUCCUGCUAACACAAGUCGAUGUGCAUGUACAUGAAUCAAAACAAGUAACAAACAAGUAAACCCAAUUGUAUAGAGCCAACAUAGCACCACAAAGGACCACCUCAGUAGGCGCAAUCGUGCACCCCAUCCCCUAGUACCUUAUAGCAAAUCUACUAGUCAUCUAUUGGGCAAAUUAUAGGAAAAAAGGCUCUCUAGCAGAGUUGCAAUAUCUAGCAAAAUUGACAUAAUUUUGUAGAGCAUCCUCCAUAUUCGGCCUCCCAGCCCCAUAUUUGGAGUCUUGGGCUAUCUUUUGGAAGACGCUCCAUAUGGCUAUUCUGUGUGGCGGGAAGAAAACCUCACAUGAUCCAUCACCUCACAUGGGAUCGAUAUUUUAAUUGGAGGAAAAUUGUAUUCCACUGGCAUAUGGGUCCAUUGAUUAUGAAGGCCACAUUAUGGCGACUAUGUGUUUAUACGCACAACCUCGGUGGACUCCAUAAUUUAUAUGGAGCGCACAUCAUAUGAAUACUGGGACUCCCAAUAUGGCGACUCUGCUAGAGUUGCUCGUAGGAGGCAUGUAGCCUUGCCCACAAAUGAUCGUUAGGUUCAAGGAACGCAUCUGCUCGUCCAUGUUGCAUUCGUCCCAUAAAAUAAUCUCAAGUAAAACUUCUCGUUCCCCGCAUGACAGGACCCACACAAUAGGAUUGUACAUAUCACGCCUCAGUCAUAAAUGUCUCCUGAUACCCGUUGUUUCUUUUCUCCUAGAGACCAUGGCGAUCAUAGAACACACCACCUGCGAUGUUACCAGGAGUGCUUCCCCAAUACCAACUGGCGACCAUGGAGGACCAUCGUCGUACCCUCGCGACCAUUGGGCCACCGUCGAGAUCCAUUAGUCGCUGGGAUCCAGUCCUACUGUUCUUCACCGCCGGUUGGAGCUUGCCAGAUGCUCCAUCUUUCCAUGUUCACCGCCUCGUUCUCCGCCACCUUCCUCUUCCCUACAGUUUGUAGUCUGCUAAUUGAUGUUUGUGAUGAUCGACUCCAAGAGCAUUUUGGGUUGACCAGACCUCUCCUCCAUUGCUGACAACGGGUUGCAUGGAAGGUUUUGAAUGCGUUGUUGCGCUCGCUCACAAUAGAUCCAACCCUGCCAGGGAUUUCAAGUGGUCUCUCCGGAGUAAGUCUAAACCCAUUGUGGUGGAUGUUAAGGUUUUGGUAAUAGGGUUUAGAGUGGAGUGAGGGUAAAAUUUCUAGGCAUUAUGGUAACUAUGGUACUAGUUUGUGACGACCCAAUAGGAAGGGAUCGCAGUCACAUAACUGGAUAGGUAGGGAAGCAAAUGGUGAAGUUGGGGAAGACAAUGUUGAGGAUUCAUAGAGAAUUUGAUAUAAGAACUACAAUGCGCAUUCCAUCUUUGUCGUCGUUCACCAUUGUCUUCAGCAUGAGUAACACACACCAACUCACACGGGUUAGGUCACAUUCGACACCAACACUACACAACCCAUAGCCCGAAUCUUACUCCACUAUAUCGUUUUUGGAUGCAUGUGUCGCAUACUAUAUGUUGAUGGAACGGAAGAGCAAAGAGAAGAUCUAGACCAUCUUCCACGCUAUGCCAUUGGAAGCAAUGUACCAGACUGUCGACUACAGAUAUUCCUCCAAAAAUAUGUAACUUCGUCUCGAGGCUGGCAGAGUGUACUGCCAAAGUUAUUACAUGAUCGCAACAUGUCAUCUACUACAUCAUGUGGAAUUUGCGGUAUAGCGGAUCAUACAUGGUUUCACUGCUCGUUGAUUGUACAAUGGUUUGAUAUGUUAGGGCUUUGAUAGAUGAAGACUUGACGGAGCAAAUAUGCAUGUCGGCUUCAGAAAAUAACCUAUUGAUGUCGCCAAAAAAAUAAGGUGAAGAGAGGCUUGGGACCGGGCCCAACUCAUCCCAAAUGGAUCCUGCGGCCACAAGGAAGUUGCAAGACCAAUGCAAAUAGAGCACUCGCAAAAUUUUCAGCGAAGGUUGCCGUCGUUAUUGCUUGUUGUGUUGAAGAUGACUCCGGUCCAGGAGUAUGGACUAUGGUAGCGAAGGCAUUCAGGGCCCAUUAAUAGUUUAAAUGAAGGCCCUUCAAGAGGCCUUGGACCGACACUUGAUUUAUAGAUCAAAACAGUGAGGAUAACAUCAGACUGUCAGACGAUUAUCAAUGACAUCAACAAUGGAAGCAUGGCAGUCUAUGACAUGAUACUUGUGGAGAUUAAUGGCCGUUGUAAGGAACUCAACGAUAUUUCAUUCCACUAUGAGAAUGAGAGUGGAAAUUCUAAUAGAGGCAGAUUCUACAGCAAAAUAUGCCCUUUCUCUGACGAGUGGCUAGGACUUCUAGCUGCUUAUUAACUAGAGAGCUGCUAUGCACAUGAUACCUGUUGCACGAUUGUUGGACGAUACUGCAAAUCGCACCAUCCAUAUGUAGGAGUAGGUGCGACACAGCCACUGGAUUAACUAUCGUGCCUGAAUUGUCCAAUAGGUAUCUCUCGUGAAGUAGUUUCGUAUUAACCAUCUCACCAGAUUUGUAUACUGUACCGCAAGAAAUUUUAGAUGAAUAUAAAAUCACCAACCUCGUUGAAGACAAAAAAUAAUGGCCGCGUGUGCAAACUCAAUUUUCACCUACUCUCUCCUUCCAACAAUAUAAGACGUUUAUGCAAGCAAGUAAAUGAUUAGAUAUAGUGAGGAGUCAUCUUAAAGUCUGAAUUUGGUCCCUCAACUUUAAAAAGAUGUCCUCCACCUUUAAUUUUCAAUGCCCGAUAAGUUUGGUCCCUCUUCGAAUGUUAAACCGGUUUUUAAUGAUGUGGCUUGGUUUUCAUGGGUUGACACGUGGCAUAAAUCCUAAUCUGCUACAUCUAUCUUGGUUUAUUGGUCUGCAUUGUAUUUUGUGUCAAUUACCAUAGAUUUAACUACCAAAAUGUUCUUGCAUGUCAUAAAAAAUUAUAUCAUUGAAAACUAUGUUCAAAUACGAAUCCUUCGAUAUAAUUUUUGUUGACAUGCAUUCUUUUUGAGUUAAAAGUUUGAUCAAAAUUUGACGCAAACUACAAAGGGACCAAUAAACCAGGACGGAAGUAGUACUCAACAAUGUGACCAUUUAAAUAUUUUAACCAGAUUAUAUCUCUCUCAGCGCUUGGGUCCCUAUCUAUCGCAUUAACACGUUGAACCGCGACAUAGUACACUUGAGGGUGGAGCUACAGUGGGGCUGUGAGGUGUUCCCGGAUCCAUCCAAUGCCGUCAGCGGCGUCCAAUCUAGCCCCACCCCACCGAAGCCAAACGGCUCGAGUACCUAGUCAUGGACACUCCGUAUUAAACGCCUCGCUCCUGCCAGAAUAUUGGCCUUCUUUGGCCCGACGGAAUGCGCCCCCAUCCUCUUCUUUGGAAUCGUUUCCCGCUGCCGCGCGCAGUGGAACCCGACGACGAAUGGGCGGAAAGCAGACGAGAAAGGGGAAACCAGGGCUACUGCCACGACGUACUCCUCGUAGGCGGCUGCAUUGUAUGCACUACUAGGGAAAAGCCUAGCAGCAGCGCGGGUUUUAGGCCUAUCAGUAGCGCGGGGCGAUGCGCUAUUGAUAAGGCGCUACAGCUAACGUAUAGCAGUAGCGUGCCUCCGCCCACGCUACUACUAAAUCGACAUAGUAGUAGCGACUUCCCGGAGGAGCGUUACUGGUAAUUAGUAGUAGCGCUUCUCCCUACCCGCGCUGCUACUAUUAUUUCGUAUUUUAUUUCUUUUUUAUUUCAUGUUGUAUUCGUACACCUUUACACAAGUUUUCAUACAACAUGAAUUUAUAAAUUGUUUUUACAUCAUAAUGAGUUACUACAUCACGGGGUGAAAGAACCGUGGACUAGUUUCAAGUGGAUGGACAUAAUGAGUUACUAAUCCACGGUUCUUUUACCCAAUGAUAUAAUAAAUAUCAUCAUCAUCAUAUCAUUAACAACUUAUCAUCAUAAUACAUCAUUGUCAUAUAACACCUCCUCAAGAUCAUCGUUUUCAUCAAUGAGACAUCACAUAGCAAAUUGGUCACUAGUCGUAAUCACAAGUACUCCUCAUCAUCAACUCUAACACAUUGUAUCACAUAAUAAACAUAUUUUACCUCAUAGGACCUACUACAUUCUCUUAGGACCUACUAUAUUCUCUAACGUAAAAUAGCAAAAAAACAAGAUAGCCCCUGACUCUCCAUUAUGGAGAAUGGAGAUUAUUCUGUCUCCAAUUCUUGCCUUUUGCUUAAUGUUACUUCCAAGAACCUCCUUGCGAAUGUCCAAACAUUUUUUCCAUUGUUUGAUUAGCAUGUGUUCACCGGUUUUAGAAAUCCGAUAUGCACAGGUGAGCUCCUUAGAUUGACCUGGCUGUAUGUUCAGAACUGCAAGGCGACUAUUCUGAUACAUCAGAUGAGGCACACAAUCCAUCGGGAUUUUCUAUUGAAAAACAUAGUAAUAACUUUGUAGUUAGCAAUGAUGUACUAGUUUUAGAAGUAUGCAAAAGAUGCACGGAUGUCAUAAUAGUAAAAAAUCUUACCAGGGUAUCUCCAUAGAAGUUACCGUGGUUCAACACGUGCACUAGUGGCACGUAUUCACCAUAAUUUGGAGGAGUUUGAUAAUAGGUAUUGUAAUUCUCAAGAUAAGUACAAUAAGCAUUCAGAUGACUUUUCUCCUUAUAAGUUAAUUCAGAGCCAUCAGUGUAGUGGGUUUUGUCUACCAUCUUCUGCACAUUCUUUGAAGAUUCAAAAUAAGCUGUCAAUGGAAAUAAGCUGUCAACUAUUUUGAAAUAAACAAUAUAAAGUAGUUAAUAACUAUGUUUGAGAAACUCACAUUGCGGUAGAAUCGGAAGCGUAUCAACAAGGACCCAAAUGUCCAUAUUGUCUUGCUCGAUGUCAGGAUCACCAAGAUCCAUGGUGACAAUCAUACCCUCAUAAAAACCAUACAUUUUGCAAAGUGUUUCCCAAUUUUGGCAACCAAAAUGGGUUACGCUCUGAGAAUUGUACAGAUUUACUUCAAAAUCGAUAUCAUGAUGGAUCCUUAGGUGUAUUUUCUUUGUUUGAAAAUUUUCAUGGUCUUCAAAACCCAUCCUCUCCAAGACAUAGCGUCUUGCAUGGCAUGGGAUAAACUAAUCGAAUUGUAAACAAUGAAAAUUAGACGUUGAAAUAGUUAAAGUCAUGCUUAAUUACGAAAAAAAAACACUUGUCGUUGUUGCGUACCGUUUCAACAUCGAAGGUCUCCUCGAGCUUAAUGCUGAAGCGCCGAUCUUCGUCCAGCUCAACGAACAUGUCGCACAUACCUCGAUCGUCGUGGCACCAGCUGCACUCCCCCGGGAGACUAUCGUCGUCCGAGUACGACAUUUCCUACGUUCAUAAUUCAAAGAUUAAACUUGUACAAUUAAAUAUAUGUACUAAAAAACCUAAAUUAGAUCAUUAUUUUUUGAGAAAAUCCAGGCCACUCGAUAUUUGCUACAAAUACUAGCACAAGUCAUGCCAGAAUUCACGGAAAAAUCCGGCAUGACCUUUGCUAAAAAAGGACAUAUCGAGCGCCUGAAAUUUGCUGGAAUGGAAAUUAAUCAACACUCCGGCAAAACAUAGGCCACUCGGAGGUGUAAACUGAACAUGAACGGCCACUUGGACAACCACAUAUCCUAUUUGAGCAACACAAGAUAUACAUGGAUAUUUGGCUGGUCUCACCUCGAUGUCGGAGGGGGUCGGUGACGGGGACGACAGUGGGGAUGAUGGAGGGGCUCCUUGAUUUCUACAGAAGCAAAAACCGUAUAAGUUAUCACUAAUACAUCCCGAAUAAUUGCUUAAACUAAAAAAUAACAACAAAUAUGGCAUGUUCAACUAGUUUUAUUAAUUUAACUAGUUCUUACUAAAUAUAAACUUACUAUAAAUAGAAAAAACAAGUUCUUUCUAAAAAUAAAGUAGUUCAACUAGUUAUAUUAAUUAUCUUACUAAAAAUACAUUAGUUCUAUUAAUUCAACUAGUUCAACUAGUUUAUUAAUUUACUUACUAAACUAGUUCAACUACAACUAAAGUAGUUCAACUAGUUUAUUAAUUUACUUACUAAUUAUUUUAAACACUUACUAAAAACAGUAAAAAUNNNNNNNNNNNNNNNNNNNNNNNNNNNNNNNNNNNNNNNNNNNNNNNNNNNNNNNNNNNNNNNNNNNNNNNNNNNNNNNNNNNNNNNNNNNNNNNNNNNNNNNNNNNNNNNNNNNNNNNNNNNNNNNNNNNNNNNNNNNNNNNNNNNNNNNNNNNNNNNNNNNNNNNNNNNNNNNNNNNNNNNNNNNNNNNNNNNNNNNNNNNNNNNNNNNNNNNNNNNNNNNNNNNNNNNNNNNNNNNNNNNNNNNNNNNNNNNNNNNNNNNNNNNNNNNNNNNNNNNNNNNNNNNNNNNNNNNNNNNNNNNNNNNNNNNNNNNNNNNNNNNNNNNNNNNNNNNNNNNNNNNNNNNNNNNNNNNNNNNNNNNNNNNNNNNNNNNNNNNNNNNNNNNNNNNNNNNNNNNNNNNNNNNNNNNNNNNNNNNNNNNNNNNNNNNNNNNNNNNNNNNNNNCGACGGUGAGGUCGAGAGCGGUGGUGAGGUCGAGAGCGGAGGGGGUGGGGGAGGUGGCGGCGACGGUGAGGUCGAGAGCGGCGGCGGGCGGCGGCGGUGAGGUUGACGGCGGCCUCGGACGGCGACGGUGAGGGCAGGCUCGGGCUCGGGCGGUGGCGACAGAGGAGUAGGGGAACAGUGGGGGGGGGAGUAGGAGUUAGCGAAAUUUUGAGCGGGCGGGUGGUUAAGUCGAACUAGCAGUGGCGCACUUUAGGAAACGCGCUAUAGCUAAAGUAGCUAUAGCGCGUUUUCAGGAAAAACGCUACUGCUAAGUCUAAGCAUGCAUCAAAAAUAUACGUUGGUCAUCAUUGAUAUUUUUGUGUAGAAUAUAAAUAGUCAACAUAUUUAAGGUGGUAAACACCUUGUUCACUUAGUAGUAUGGGACUAAACUUAAUUAGGUGCAACACUUAGCAGCAGCGAGUUUUGCAGAAACACGUUGCUACUAUGUACUUUAGCAGCAGCGCGUCCAGGGAAGGGCGCAACUACUAUAUCUAGCCUGGGGGCAAAUCCGUGGCAAUUAUAGUAGUAGCGCUUGUUUCACCUAGAGCGCUACUGCUAUCUAGUUAUUAGUAGCGCGGUUCCUUUAAGCUCGCUACUGCUAGUUAGCAGUAGUGCCUGUUUUAAAACCGCACUGCUGCUAAGAUUCUGUGUAUAACGUUUUCCCUAGUAGUGAUGGGAGAUGCUCGGCUGGUGUGCGCCAUUGUCUCCAUUGUGCUCAACGCUAUGCUAUCUGAAAGUUUUUCCCCACAUUUUAGUUAGAAUGUUUUAUUGUGCUGCAAGAAACCAAAAAAAAAAGUUCUUGCACGAAUCGCGAUGAAUGGCUAGAUAAGGAGAUGUACCUAAGCCUAUUCUCCACAAGAUAUUUUCCGUACGCUGCCCCCGGGGGCCUCCUCUGACGUAUCCAAGGCACUGUUUUGGUAACCGAACGAAAUUUCACGAUCUCACCCGGUUACCGCAUUUAUCGCCCCCCUCCCCUCGAGAAACACUCAUACCGGACAAAAAAUCUCAUUUUUUUGAAUAUUUUGGAUUCAAACGCUCAGAGUGUAGUUAAAUAUAGGACAUCUCUUUUAUACUAACAUAAGCGGUUGUGGCCUAGUGGAAACUGCUGCCUUUCUUCAACAGCUUGUCGCGGGUUCGAAUUUUGACCCACGCUUUUUAAUUUCUUUUUGAUAUACAAAAGUUAAAAAAAACUUAAAAUUUGUUGAAGUGGCAAGGGGUCGAGCGUGAUAAUUUUUGAAGUUAAGCCCCUAUCUAUAUCAACUUCAAAAAAUUUGAAUUCAAAAUUUAUUUUCAAAUUUCGUUCGAAUUUUUUUCGGUAUUUUGUGGUUACCAUGGUAACCACGAAUUCCAGUGCCCCUCGAGAAAAAAUGUGCACUUGGGAUCCAAAACCUUGAUCCAAGGCGACCCCAACUUCGCCCACGCUUCCCAAUCCACGCUCACACGACACCUCACGUCGCACUGCUCUGCACCGACCACCGCCUUCCACGCUCGCUUCUCUGACGCCACCGCACCAACGCACACACCCGAUGGGCUGCUCCCAUCCAUGGCCUUCUCCAGCUCCCGGUGCGUGCUGGUGCAGAGCCAGUGGGGGAGCACGUGAACGACAUCGCCCACCACUAUGGAUCAAGAACUAUGGACGACGGCAGCCAGCGAGGCCAAGUGGCGGCAUGGCUACAAUUCUGACGAGAUGGAGCACGCACUCGUUGGCCUCCACUGCCGCAGAGUACUUGGCCUCGCCACGGAAGUGUGGCACUACUACUUGGCCUCAGCGCAGCAGCGAUGCUCAGGGAGUAGUACUGCCGUUCACAACGACCCAACAAGAGGAUCUUGUACAACCCGAAAGACACCAAGCAACGAUGGAUCCACAGGAACAACACAGUGCCUUCAGAAGUGAAAGGAUCAAGGAGGGAGGUCGUUGUUCUCCCGGCUCCCGUCGUCUCCUUCUCUGGAGGCCGGAGUAACGGUGGAUGGGGAGCCGGGGCCUCUCUUGUAUUUAGUAGUUUUGGUUCAGGAUGCUUGCCUGGGGUUACCGUGAUGGCGCCUGGCAAGAUGCCGUUACAGUGCUGCCCACCACUGCCUUUUUUUACAAAAAUGAUUUAAAACUUAUUAUCAAAGUUCAUCAAAAGUAAAAAAAUCUAAAACAUAAGAGAAAUUACAUCGAGAUUUGAAGGCUACCGAACAACCAUUACUACCGCUAGAAGGAGCCACCGACCCCGCUAUUGCCGCUCCUCUACCGGAGCCGGCUUGAACGUGCAAUGACAGCCAAGAAGUCUUCAUGCACGUGCCACUAAUGACCAGCGCCCUAGAGCCGCAGUCAUCGCUGUUUAAUCCUUGCAUAGAUCUGAAGCACCUGACACCAAAUCUUGCCACAUGAUUUGAAACCCUAACCUCACUGCCCCAAGGAGAUGGCAGGAAUCUACGCUGGGGAUCCAUCAACUACGUACAGACGGACGAACUUGAGAAGGAUCGAAGCACGAAAUACCAACUCAAAGAAGUAGCACCGGCAUCUGCCCAAGUGUUGCACCCGCCAGGACUAAAAACCGUAGCCUAAACUACCAACCGGUGUGGAGACACCCAGAUUCUCCUCCCCGCCACUGUCCACCGGAGCGGCAGGCAAAAGGGAGGCGAAUCCAUGGGCUCGAGGUGAAGUCUAGGGAUUUUUUUGUCCUAACGGCCUAUGAUUAGGGGAGGUAAAUGAGAGGCUGCCCACCGUUGCUUGCAUAGUGCACGGUGGUUGUCGAUAUCAUCUUCCGCUCUGGUUCCAUGGUGACGUGAAAGGGAGGCAACGGUUCUUUCGCUAGCUCCCUUAAUAAGCACGCACUCGCACAGGAUCAAGUUUGUCUCAUGUCCUCUCCUCCUUAUUUUUGCCAUCAUGGCGACGCCACAGGUGGAAGAGCACUACAGGACUUGGGCUUCUGAUACAGUGAGGUAUUUUGUAAAGAUCUGUUAGAGGGCCUCCAGCAUGCCUCCUGUUGCUACAUUCAUCGUGAUGGUGGAGGCAUGGACACGGUCAUUUGGAUGUGGUUCAAGAGCUCAUGGUGGUGGAUUUGGAGGAAUUUUGGUGCCUCGGGGUGGGCGUUCGGGUUUACCCAAAAUUCCGCGUCUGCUAAUUCGGAUUUUUAGAAAUUUGGGUUUCUAAAAUAAACACCCAAAAUAUUCCUAAAAAAGAGAAAUCCAAAAAUUCUGGUUUAGGUUCGGGUAUUCCUGAAUUACCCGAAUUAGCACAACAAACAAAAUGACAGCAGCAACUCGCGGCAUACUGGCGGCUGAUGCAGCGCUCCCCUUUGCUUCCCUCACUCAAAGGUUGUGGGAUGUAGCCUCACCUUGUUUGCUUCUCAUGGCGGCAGGAUACUGGGACUAGGAGGUCAUCGACCUUAUUGCAGAUUUGCAGGCGAAGGUGGUGAGCCUCGUGCGCGUCACAGAUAGUGGCAGCGAGGUGCAGAAGAUGGUGACGAUGUCGGUGAGGUGGAUGGAGUUAAUGAGGUGGCCAACCGCCCGGCCGCAUUGCACGCUCGUGGUUGCUAGGUCGGGACACAGGAUGUGGCCGACUGCAUUGCAUUGUAGCCGCUGGUUCGAGAGAGACGGAGAGGAAGGAACGAGGCGCCUAUGUGUGUGUGUGUGUGUGUGUGAUAGAGAGAGAGAGAGAGAGAGAGAGAGAGAGAGAAAUGGACUGCUCGACUAGUGGCACAACAUGGGAAGUGGAUGGGGGUCGCGACUAUGCUCGGUCGACCUAGGGAAAUCGAGGCCUUAUUCUUAUUCCCAUAUUGGGCUGGGUUGAUGCCAGAAGGUGGAAUUUUGAUUGGGCGGUACCAUGAGUUGGGACCGAAAUUUCCCAAAAAAUUGGGUUUCUCAAAAUGUUACCUGGUUUAGUUUUCCAGUUUUUCGGGUUAGGGCUAAAUGGGUUCUCGUUUGGGCGUUGGGUAUCGGGUUUUAUGCUCAUCGUGUGUGGUGCCCUUGUUGGUCAUGGCCUGGUUUCCUCCAAGGGGACACGUAUCUUGUGGUCAAAAGGGGACCUAUUUCAUUUCUUCUGACCAUGAUGCCAGAGAUGAGACAAGUUGCUUAAAGGUGGAUUAUUCAAUGCCAUGUUGUCAUGGAGGUCUCGCCGGCUCAAGCGGUGUCAUUCGUGGACCAACGAGACUAGCACUACUAGGGAAAAGCCUAGCAGCAGCGCAGGUUUUGGGCCUCUCAGUAGCGCGGGGACCGGCGCUACUAAUAAGGCGCUACAGCUAACGGGUAGCGCCUGUUGUCCCACGCUACUGCUAUACAUGUAUAGCUGUAGCGCUCUUUAGAAAAGGGCGCUGCUGAUAUUAUCUGCAGCGCUGUUUACUGGGAAGCGCUACUGGUAAGGCGGCGCUACUGCUAAAUUUCCCCCCCUCGCUACUACUAGUUUUAUUAGUUUUUUCCCUGCGUAUUUGUUUUGUAUUUGAAUAGGCUUUAUACAAUAAUCUUUAGCAUAUCAUACACAUACAAAUGUAAUCAUAGCAUAUACAUACAAUUAGUCUCAUCAAAUCAUGUCAUCAUCAUAAUCAUCAUCCAACACAAAGUGGUCUCUCGUCAUCAUCUAGAAAAUAGCGAUACAAGUCUCGAUUACUUGCAAAUACAUCGUCAUCCAUCUAAACAAUGAUAUACGCGAGAAGAGCUAUCACUUUGAGUACAUGAGUUCGUAUCCCUCUCUCGCAUUAGCGUGAACCUAAACUAACUACUGCAUGUCGCUCGGAAGCCAGAAAUUGGUACACCUGGGCCUGACACUCCGGCCACUUGUCGUAUAUAUACUCCUGGCGUAGCACUUCUUCGCCAUCUAUGAUCUAUGCACCUGCAUCGUCACAUGAGUCGAUGAUAUGCAACAUAUAUAGUUGAGCAACAGAAAGAGACAGACUUGGCAAAAAUAGAAACAGCAUAUCAUAAGCAUAAAUAACAAAGUUCAUCGUACCCAAAAUGCCCUAACUAGAGUUAUUUUCGCUAGUCGAGGAGGAGGAGGACGGUUUAAUUACAUCACAAAUAAAGUUUCACCGUGCAUAACUCAAAGUUUUGUCAUACAGAAAGUAUGGACUAAACGUACACAUUGUCAUAUAUCGACAAUCACUCCAACAUGUCGUUCCAUCCAUCCAAGUCAGGGAGAUAGUCCUCGAGCUUAGUGAAAGGCUUCAUGUCGAGACGCUGAGAGGCUAUCCAUGUUCGGACGUCUUCCCGCAACAUUUGUCCUUCUCCAUAGAACAUCCUUGUUUUUCCGACGACCUCCUUCAUGAUGAUUUGGGCAAGUUCGUGCUGGAUGUUAUAGAACUCAGCUCGAAGUCGAUGAUCCUCGAUAUCUCCUAUGUCCUUUGCCCAUUGCAGAAUAUGGGCAUCGCCGGAUCUAGGUGACAUGCGAAGGUUCUGGUGAUCCCGUCUGUACUCCAGCAUGUGGUGUAGGACAUAGAAUCCAUCAUUAAGAGAAUUGUUCGGUUGCUGGAUGCAGCAGAAGUCGGUCUUAUGGCCGAAGGCGACCCUGCCGCCCCUUCUCUUCUUGUCCCUGACCUCUCCAUCCCUUGCUUGGUAGCAAAACAUAGCACUGUCGAACAUCCUUGAUGUGGGUGUAAUCCUUUUUGUGAAUGUUCUUCGACGAGUCCAAGUAAAGAGUGUGGGAGAAUCGGAGGUAGAUGAUGAUGAGGACGGCGCACCCGCUGCUGCGCAAAAUAAGUACACCUCAAAUUAAUUAGCCUACACCGUGCAAAUGAAUGAUUGAAAUCGAAGGAAGGAUAGCAGCGUGUAUUCACGGUGCUUUGCGUAGACUCCCAAGAAGCCCUCUGAUGUCUACUACACAACCUUCUUCUUGUAGACGUUGUUGGGCCUCCAAGUGCAGAGGUUUGUAUGACAGUAGCAAAUUUCCCUCAAGUGGAUGACCUAAGGUUUAUCAAUCCGUAAGAGGCGUAAGAUGAAGAUGGUCUCUCUCAAGCAACACUGCAACCAAAUAACAAAGAGUCUCUUGUGUCCCCAACACACCCAAUACAAUGUUAAAUUGUAUAGGUGCACUAGUUCGGCGAAGAGAUGGUGAUACAAGUGGUAUAUGGAUAGUAGAUAAUAGUUUUUGUAAUAUGAAAAUAUAAAAACAGCAAGGUAAUGAAUGAUAAAAGUGAGCGUAAACGGUAUUGCAAUGUGUGGAAACAAGGCCUAGGGUUCAUACUUUCACUAGUGUAAGUUCCCUCAACAAUACUAACAUAAUUGGAUCACAUAACUAUCCCUCAACAUGCAACAAAGAGUCACUCCAAAGUCACUAAUAGCGGAGAACGAACAAAGAGAUUAUGGUAGGGUACGAAACCACCUCAAAGUUAUUCUUUCCAAUCAAUCAGUUGGGCUAUUCCUAUAUGUGUCACAAACAGCCCUAGAGUUCGUACUAGAAUAACACCUUAAGACACAAAUCAACCAAAACCCUAAUGUCACCUAGAUACUCCAUUGUCACCUCAAGUAUCCGUGGGCAUGAUUAUACGAUAUGCAUCACACAAUCUCAAUUCAUCUAUUCAACCAACACAUAGAACCUCAAAGAGUGCCCCAAAGUUUCUACCGGAGAAUCAUGACGAAAACGUGUGCCAACCCCUAUGCAUAGGUUCAUGGGCGGAACCCGCAAGUUGGUCACCAAAACAUACAUCAAGUGGCACGUGGUAUCCCAUUAUCACCACAAAUAUCCACGGCAAGACAUACAUCAAGUGUUCUCAAAUCUUUAAAGACUCAAUCCGAUAAGAUAACUUCAAAGGGGAAACUCAAUUCAUUACAAGGGAGAAGAGGGGGAGGAGAAACAUAGGAUCCAACUAUAAUAGCAAAGCUCGCGAUACAUCAAGAUCAUGCCAAAUCAAGAACACAAGAGAGAGAGAGAGAGAUCAAACACAUAGCUACUGGUACAUACCCUCAGCCCCGAGGGAGAACUACUCCCUCCUCGUCAUGGAGAGCGCCGGGAUGAUGAAGAUGGCCACCGGUGAGGGUUCCCCCCUCCGGCAGGGUGCCGGAAUAGGGUCCCGAUUGACUUUUGGUGGCUACAGAGGCUUGCGGCAGCGGAACUCCCGAUCUAUUGUUCGUUCUAGAAGUUUUAGGGUACGACGAUAUAUAUGGGUGCAGGAAGUACGUCGGAGGAGCCACGGGGGCCCCACGAGGCAGGGGGUGCGCCCUAGGGGGUGGGCACGCCCCCCACCCUCGUGGGCAGCCCAUGUCUCCCCUGACGUGCACUCCAAGUUCCCUGGGUUGCUUUCCUUCCAAAAACAACUUCUCCAGUUGAUUUCGUUCCGUUCGUCUUCGUUUGAUAUUCCUUUUCUUCGAAACACUGAAAUAGGCAAAAAACAGCAAAUCUGGGUUGGGCCUCCGGUUAAUAGGUUAGUCCCAAAAGUAAUAUAAAAGUGGAAAAUAAAGCCCAAUAUUUCCCAAAAUAGUAGAUAAUAUAGCAUGAAGCAAUCAAAAAUUAUAGAUACGUUGGAGACGUAUCAGGCAUCCCCAAGCUUAAUUCCUGCUCGUCCUCGAGUAGGUAAAUGAUAAAAAGAUAAUUUUUGAUGUGGAAUGCUAGUUGGCAUAAUUUCAAUGUAAUUUCUCUUAAUUGUGGUAUGAAUAUUCAGAUCCAAAAGAUUCAAGACAAAAGUUCAUAUUGACAUAAAAAUAAUAAUACUUCAAGCAUACUAACUAAGCAAUCAUGUCUUCCCAAAAUAAUAUGGCCAAAGAAAGUUAUCCCUACAAAAUCAUAUAGUUUGGCUAUGCUCCAUCUUCACCACACAAAAUAUUUAAAUCAUGCACAACCCCUAUGACAAGCCAAGCAAUUGUUUCAUACUUUUGAUGUUCUCAAACUUUUUCAAUCUUCACGCAAUACAUGAGCGUGAGCCAUGGACAUAGCACUAUAGGUGGAAUAGAAUGGUGGUUGUGGAGAAGACAAAAAGGGAGAAUAUAGUCUGACAUCGACUAGGCGUAUCAACGGGCUAUGGAGAUGACCAUCAAUAGAUAUCAAUGUGAGUGAGUAGGGAUUGCCAUGCAACGGAUGCACUAGAGCUAUAAGUAUAUGAAAGCUCAACACAAGAAACCAGUGGGUGUGCAUCCAACUCGCUUGCUCACGAAGACCUAGGGCAUUUUGAGGAAGCCCAUCAUUGGAAUAUACAAGCCAAGUUCUAUAAUGAAAGAUUCUAUAUGAAAGUGACAACAUAGGAGACUCUCUAUCAUGAACAUCAUGGUGCUACUUUGAAGCACAAGUGUGGUAAAAGGAUAGUAGCAUUGUCCCUUUUAUUUUUUAUUUUUUAUUUGGCCUUCCUUUUUUUAUUUGGCCUUUCUUUUUUAUUUGGCCUUUCUUUUUUUAUUUGGCCUUUCUUUUUUUCUUUUUUUGGGACAAUGCUCUAUUGAAUGAUGAUCAUCACACUUCUAUUUAUUUACAACUCAAUGAUACAACUCGAUACUAGAGCAAAGUAUGACUCUAUAUGAAUGCCUACGGCGGUGUACCGGGAUGUGCAAUGAUGCAUGAGUGACAUGUAUGAAAGAAUUAUGAAUGGUGGCUUUGCCACAAAUACGAUGUCAACUACAUGAUCAUGCUAAGAAAUAUGACAAUGAUGAAUGUGUCAUGAUGAACGGAAUGGUGGAAAGUUGCGUGGCAAUAUAUCUCGGAAUGGCUAUGGAAAUGCCAUAAUAGGUAGGUAUGGUGGCUGUUUUGAGGAAGGUAUAUGGUGGGUAUAUGGUACCGGCGAAAGUUGCGCGGUACUAGAGAGGCUAGCAAUGGUGGAAGGGUGAGAGUGCGUAUAAUCCAUGGACUCAACAUUAGUCAUAAAGAACUCACAUACUUAUUGCAAAAAUCUACAAGUUAUCAAAGCAAAGUAUUACGCGCAUGCUCCUAGGGGGAUAUAUUGGUAGGAAAAGACCAUCGCUCUCCCCGACCGCCACUCAUAAGGAAGACAAUCAAUAAAUAAAUCAUGCUCCGACUUCAUCACAUAACGGUUCACCAUACGUGCAUGCUACGGGAAUCACAAGCUUCAACACAAGUAUUUCUCAAAUUCACAACUACUCUACUAGCAUGACUCUAAUAUCACCAUCCUCAUAUCUCAAAACAAUUAUCAAGCAUCAAACUUCUCAUAGUAUUCAACACACUCAUAAGAAAGUUUUAUUAUUCUUGAAUACCUAGCAUAUUAGGAUUUUAGGAAAAUUAUCAUGCUAUUUAAGACUCUCAGAAUGAUAUAAGUGAAGAAUGAGAGUUCAUCUAUUCCUUCAAAAUAAAACUACCGCCAUGCUCUAAAAGAUAUAAGUGAAGCACUAGAGCAAAUGACAAACUACUCCGAAAGAUAUAAGUGAAGAUCAAUGAGUAGUCGAAUAAUUAUGCAACUAUGUGAAGACUCUCUAACAUUUAAUAAUUUCAGAUCUUGGUAUUCUAUUCAAAUAGCAAGCAAAGCAAAAUAAAAUUACAUCUAAGAAUAGCAAACAUGUAAGGAAGCAAAAACUUAGGAUCAACCGAUACUAACCGAUAGUUGUUGAAGAAGAAAGAUGGGAUGCCAACCGGGGCAUCCCCAAGCUUAGACGCUUGAGACUUCUUGAAAUAUUAUCUUGGGGUGCCUUGGGCAUCUCCAAGCUUGAGCUUUUGUGUCUCCUUAAUUCCUCUCAUAUCACGGUCUCCCUAAAUCUCAAAAGCUUCAUCCACACAAAACUCAACAAGGACUCAUGAGAUAAGUUAGUAUAAACCAUUGCCAAAACAUUAUCAUACUCUACUGUAGCAAAUCACUAAAAUUAUUAUUCAACAUUGCAUACUAAAUUCCUCUGCAUAUUUAAUAGUCCUAUCCUCAAAUAGAAUCAUUAAAGAAGCAACCAUAUGCAAACAAUGCAAACAUAACAGCAAUCUGCCUAAACAGGAUAGUCUGUAAAGAAUGCUGCAGCAUCCAUACUUCCCUAGCUCCAAAAAUUAUGAAAUAAAAUUCCCACUGUAGUAAAUUUAUCAGAUCUUAAUAUGCAAAAGGUUUCAACAUUUUAUCACAUUCUAACUUUUCUAGGGAAUUAUUGCAACAGUGGUAAACUUUCUGUUUUCAAACAGCAACAUGUAUACUUGUAACAUAGGCAUAGUAAAGGCUAUCAAUGCCAAUUUUUUGAAAUAAAAGAUGCAAAACAUUGUUCUAAAUAACAGCAAUAAAAUCCUAACAAAAUAAAUUUAUGCUCCAAGCAAAACACAUAUCAUGUGGCGAAUAAAAAUAUAGCUCCAAGUAAAGUUACAGAUGAACGAAGACGAAGGAGGGGAUGCCUUCCGGGGCAUCCCCAAGCUUAGGCUCUUGGCUAUCCUUGAAUAUCAUCUUGGGGUGACCUUGGCAUCCCCAAGCUUAGGCUCUUGCCACUCCUUGUUCCAUAGUCCAUCGAAUCCUUACCCAAAACUUGAAAACUUCACAACACAAAACUUAAAGUAGAAAACUCGUAAGCUCUGUUAGUGUAAGAAAAUAAAUCACCACUUCAAGGUACUGUAAUGAAUUCAUUCUUUAGUUAUAUUGGUGUUAAACCUACUGUAUUCCAACUUCUCUGUGGUUUAUAAACUAUUUUACUAGCCAUAGAUUCAUCAAAAUAAGCAAACAACACAUCGAAAACAGAAUCUGUCAAAAACAGAAUAGUCUGUAGUAAUCUGGAUCAAACGUAUACUUCUGGAACUCAUAAAAUUCUCAAAUAAAUUUCUAGACCUGAGUAAUUUAUCUAUUAAUCAUCUUCAAAAAGAAUUAACUAAAUAUCACUUCCCAAAUAAAAAUGGCAGCAAUUCUCGUGAGCGCUAAAGUUUCUGUUUUUUACAGCAAGAUCAACAAGACUUUCCCCAAGUCUUCCCAACGGUUCUACUUGGCACAAACACUAAUUAAAUGCAUAAAACCACAUAUAAAAAGAGGCUAGAUGAAUUAUUUAUUACUAAACAGGAACAAAAAGCAAGGAAUAAAAAUAAAGUUGGGUUGCCUCCCAACAAGCGCUAUCAUUUAACGCCCCUAGCUAGGCAUGAUAAUGACAAUGAUGCUCACAUAAAAGAUAAGAAUUGAAAUAUAGAGAGAGCAUCAUGAAGAAUAUGACUAGCACAUUUAAGCCUAACCCACUUCCUAUGCAUAGGGAUUUUGUGAUCAAACAACUUAUGGGAACAAUAAUCAACUAGCAUAGGAAGGCAAAACAAGCAUAACUUCGAGAUUUUAAGCACAUAGAGAGGAAACUUGAUAUUAUUGCAAUUCCUACAAGCAUAUGUUCCUCCCUCAUAAUAAUUUUCAGUAGCAUCAUGAAUGAAUUCAACAAUAUAACCAGCACCUAAAGCAUUCUUUUCAUGAUCUACAAGCAUGCAAAAUUUACUACUCUCCACAUAAGCAAAAUUCUUCUCAUUAAUAGUAGUGGGAGCAAACUCAACAAAGUAACUAUCAUGGGAUUGAAAAUUGAAAUUAAGAUGACAAGUUUAAUUGUUAUCAUUAUUCUUUAAAGCAUACGUGUCAUCACAAUAAUCAUCAUAGAUAGGAGGCAUGCUUUCAUCAUAGUAAAUUUGCUCAUCAAACCUUGGGGGACUAAAAAUAUCAUCUUCAUCAUACAUAGCUUCCCCAAGCUUGUGUCUUUGCAUAUCAUUAGCAUCAUAGAUAUUCAAGGAAUUCAUACUAACAACAUUGCAAUCAUGCUCAUCAUUCAAAUAUUUAGUGCCAAAAUUUUUAUAGAUUUCUUCUUCUAGCACUUGAGCACAAUUAUCCUUUCCAUCAUACUCACGAAAGAUAUUAAAAAGGUGAAACGUAUGAGACAAACUCAAUUCCAUUUUUUUGUAAUUUUGUUUUAUAAACUAAACUAGUGAUAAAAUAAUAAACUAAAAGACUCGAUUGCCAGAUCUAAAGAUAUACCUUCAAGCGCUAACCUCCCCGGCAACGACGCCAGAAAAGAGCUUGGUAUCUACUACACAACCUUCUUCUUGUAGACGUUGUUGGGCCUCCAAGUGCAGAGGUUUGUAGGACAGUAGCAAAUUUCCCUCAAGUGGAUGACCUAAGGUUUAUCAAUCCGUAAGAGGCGUAGGAUGAAGAUGGUCUCUCUCAAGCAACCCUGCAACCAAAUAACAAAGAGUCUCUUGUGUCCCCAACACACCCAAUACAAUGGUAAAUUGUAUAGGUGCACUAGUUCGGCGAAGAGAUGGUGAUACAAGUGGUAAAUGGAUAGUAGAUAAUAGUUUUUGUAAUCUGAAAAUAUAAAAACAGCAAGGUAACGAAUGAUAAAAGUGAGCGUAAACGGUAUUGCAAUGUGUGGAAACAAGGCCUAGGGUUCAUACUUUCGCUAGUGUAAGUUCCCUCAACAAUACUAACAUAAUUGGAUCACAUAACUAUCCCUCAACAUGCAACAAAGAGUCACUCCAAAGUCACUAAUAGCGGAGAACGAACGAAGAGAUUAUGGUAGGGUAGGAAACCACCUCAAAGUUAUUCUUUCCAAUCAAUCCGUUGGGCUAUUCCUAUAAGUGUCACAUGAAGGAAAUAUGCCCUAGAGGCAAUAAUAAUGUUAUUAUUUUAUUUCCUUAUAUCAUGAUAAAUGUUUAUUAUUCAUGCUAGAAUUGUAUUAUCCGGAAACAUAAUACUUGUGUGAAUACAUAAACAAACCAAACGUCACUAGUAUGUCUCUACUUGACUAGCUCAUUAAUCAAAGAUGGUUAUGUUUCCUAACCAUAGACAUGUGUUGUCAUUUGAUUAACGGGAUCACAUUAUUAGGAGAAUGAUGUGAUUGACAUGACCCAUUCCAUUAGCUUAGCACCCGAUUGUUUAGUAUGUUGCUAUUGCUUUCUUCAUGACUUAUACAUGUUCCUAUGACUAUGAGAUUAUGCAACUCCCGUUUGCCGGAGGAACACUUUGUGUGCUACCAAACGUCACAACGUAACUGGGUGAUUAUAAAGGAGCUCUACAGGUGUCUCCAAAGGUACAUGUUGGGUUGGCGUAUUUCGAGAUUAGGAUUUGUCACUUCGAUUGUCGGAGAGGUAUCUCUGGGCCCUAUCGGUAAUGCACAUCACAUAAGCCUUGCAAGCAUUUCAACUAAUGAGUUAGUUGCGAGAUGAUGUAUUCCGAAACGAGUAAAGAGACUUGCUGGUAACGAGAUUGAACUAGGUAUUGAGAUAUCGACGAUCGAAUCUCGGGCAAGUAAAAUACCGAUGACAAAGGGAACAACGUAUGUUGUUAUGCGGUCUGACCGAUAAAGAUCUUCGUAGAAUAUGUAGGAGCUAAUAUGAGCAUCCAGGUUCCGCUAUUGGUUAUUGACCGGAGAUGUGUCUCGGUCAUGUCUACAUUGUUCUCGAACCCGUAGGGUCCGCACGCUUAAGGUUUCGAUGACAAUUAUAUUAUGAGUUUAUGAGUUUUGAUGUACCGAGGUUAGUUCGGAGUCCCGGAUGUGAUCAAGACAUAACGAGGAGUCUCGAAAUGGUCGAGACAUAAAGAUUGAUAUAUUAGACGGCUAUAUUCGGACACCGGAAGUGUUCCGGGUGAUUUCGGAGAAAACCGGAGAGCCGGAGGGUUACCGGAACCCUACCGGGAGAAGUGAUGGGCCAUAUGGGCCUUAGUGGAGAGAGAGAGGGUGGGCCGCGCGCCUCCUCCCCCAUGGUCCGAAUUGGACUAGGAGAGGGGGGGGGCGCCCCCCCUUUCCUUCUCCCUCCCCACUUCCUUCCCCCUCCUAGUAGGAGUCCUACUCCUACUAGGAGGAGGACUCCUCCUGGCGCACCAAUAGGGGCCAGCCGGCCUCCUCCCCUUGCUCCUUUAUAUACGGGGGCAGGGGGCACCCCUAGACACACAAGUUGAUCCACGUGAUCAUAUUCUUAGCUGUGUGCGGUGCCCCUUUCCACCAUAAUCCUCGAUAAUAUUGUAGCGGUGCUUAGGCGAAGCCCUGCGACGGUAGUACAUCAAGAUCGUCACCACGCCGUCGUGCUGAUGGAACUCUACCCCGACACUUUGCUGGAUCGGAGUCCGGGGAUCGUCAUCGAGCUGAAAGUGUGCUAAAACUCAGAGGUACCGUAGUUUCGGUGCUUGAUCGGUCGGGCCGUGAAGACGUACGACUACAUCAACCGCGUUGUGCUAACGCUUCCGCUGUCGGUCUACAAGGGUACAUAGAUCACACUCUCCCCUCUCAUUGCUAUACAUCACCAUGAUCUUGCGUGUGCGUAGGAAUUUUUUUGAAUUACUACGUUACCCAACAGUGGUAUCAGAGCCUAGGUUUUAUGUGUUGAUGUUAUAUGCACGAGUAGAACACAAGUGAGUUGUGGGCGAUAUAAGUCAUACUGCUUACCAGCAUGUCAUACUUUGGUUCGGCGGUAUUGUUGGACGAAGCGGCCCGGACCGACAUUACGCGUACGCUUACGCGAGACCGGUUUUCCCGACGUGCUUUGCACAAAGUUGGCUAGCGGGUGUCAGUUUCUCCAACUUUAGUUGAACCGAGUGUGGCUACGCCCGGUCCUUGCGAAGGUUAAAACAGCACCAACUUGAAAAACUAUUGUUGUGGUUUUGAUGCGUAGGUAAGAUUGGUUCUUGCUUAAGCCCGUAGCAGCCACGUAAAACUUGCAACAACAAAGUAGAGGAUGUCUAACUUGUUUUUGCAGGGCAUGUUGUGAUGUGAUAUGGUCAAGACAUGAUGCUAAAUUUUAUUGUAUGAGAUGAUCAUGUUUUGUAACCAAGUUAUCGGCAACUGGCAGGAGCCAUAUGGUUGUCGCUUUAUUGUAUGCAAUGCAAUUGCGCUGUAAUGCUUUACUUUAUCACUAAGCGGUAGUGAUAGUCGUGGAAGCAUAAGAUUGGCGAGACGACAACGAUGCUACGAUGGUGAUCAAGGUGUCGCGUCGGUGACGAUGGUGAUCACGACAGUGCUUCGAAGAUGGAGAUCACAAGCACAAGAUGAUGAUGGCCAUAUCAUAUCACUUAUAUUGAUUGCAUGUGAUGUUUAUGUUUUAUGCAUCUUAUCUUGCUUUGAUUGACGAUAGCAUUUUAAGAUGAUCUCUCACUAAUUAUCAAGAAGUGUUAUCCCUGAGUAUGCACCGUUGCGGAAGUUCUUCGUGCUGAGACACCACGUGAUGAUCGGGUGUGAUAGGCUCUACGUUCAAAUACAACGGGUGCAAAACAGUUGCACACGCAGAAUACUCAGGUUAAACUUGACGACCCUAGCAUAUACAGAUAUGGCCUCGGAACACGGAGACCGAAAGGUCGAACAUGAAUCAUAUAGUAGAUAUGAUCAACAUAAGUGAUGUUCACCAUUGAAAACUACUCCAUCUCACGUGAUGAUCGGACAUGGUUUAGUUGAUUUGGAUCACGUGAUCACUUAGAUGACUAGAGAGACGUCUGUCUAAGUGGGAGUUCUUAAGUAAUAUGAUUAGAUGAACUUAAAUUUAUCAUGAACUUAGUCCUGCUAGUAUUUUGGAAAUCAUGUUGUAGAUCAAUAGCUCGCGUUGUUGCUUCCCUGUGUUUAUUUUGAUAUGUUCCUAGAGAAAAUUGUGUUGAAAGAUGUUACUAGCAAUGAUGCGGAUUGGAUCCAUGAUCUGAGGUUUAUCCUCAUUGCUGCACAGAAGAAUUAUGUCCUUGAUGCACCGCUAGGUGACAGACCUAUUGCAGGAGCAGAUACAGACGUUAUGAACAUUUGGCUAGCUAAAUAUGAGGACUACUUGAUAGUUUAGUGCACCAUGCUUAACGGCUUAGAAUCGGGACUUCAAAGACGUUUUGAACGUCAUGGACCAUAUGAGAUGUUCCAGGAGUUGAAGUUAAUAUUUCAAACAAAUACCCGAGUUGAGAUAUAUGAAGUCUCCGACAAGUUCUAUAGCUAAAAGAUGGGGGAGAAUCGCUCAACUAGUGAGCAUGUGCUCAGAUUGUCUGGGUACUACAAUUGCUUGAAUCAAGUGGGAGUUAAUCUUCCAGAUAAGAUAGUGAUUAACAGAAUUCUCUGGUCACCAUCACCAAGUUAGUAGAACUUCGUGAUGAACUAUAGUAUGCAAGGGAUGACGAAAACGACUCCCGAGCUUUUCAUGAUGAUGAAAUCGAUGAAGGUAGAAAUCAAGAAAGAGCAUCAAGUGUUGAUGGUUGGCAAGAUCACUAGUUUCAAGAAAAGGGCAAAAGGAAAAAAAGGGGAACUUCAAGAAGAACAGCAAGCAAGUUGCUGCUCAAGUGAAGAAGCCCAAGUCUGGUCCUAAGCCUGAGACUAAGUGAUUCUACUGCAAAGGGACUGGUCACUGGAAGCGGAACUACCCAAGUAUUUGGCGGAUAAGAAGGAUGGCAAGGUGAACAAAGGUAUAUGUGAUAUACAUGUUAUUGAUGUGUACCUUACUAAUGCUCGCAGUAGCACCUGGGUAUUUGAUACUGGUUCUGUUGCUAACAUUUGCAACUCGAAACAGGGACUACAGAUUAAGCGAAGAUUGGCUAAGGACGAGGUGACGAUGCGCGUGGGAAAUGGUUCCAAAGUCGAUGUAAUCGCGGUCGGCACGCUACCUCUACAUCUACCUUCGUGAUUAGUAUUAGACCUAAAUAAUUGUUAUUUGGUGACAGCGUUAAGCAUGAACAUUAUAUUUGGAUCUUGUUUGAUGCGAGAUGCUUAUUCAUUUAAAUCAGAGAAUAAUGGUUGUUCUAUUUAUAUGAGUAAUAUCUUUAAUGGUCAUGCACCCUUAAAGAGUGGUCUAUUCUUAUUAAAUCUCGAUAGUAGUGACACACAUAUUCAUAAUGUUGAAACCAAAAGAUGCAGAGUUGAUAAUGAUAGUGCAACUUAUUUGUGGCACUGCCGUUUGGGUCAUAUCGGUAUAAAGCGCAUGAAGAAACUUCAUACUGAUGGGCUUUUGGAACCACUUGAUUAUGAAUCACUUGGUACUUGCGAACCGUGCCUUAUGGGUAAGAUGAGAAAAGCACCGUUCUCCGGUACUAUGGAGAGAGCAACAGAUUUGUUGGAAAUCAUACAUACAGAUGUAUGUGGUCCGAUGAAUGUUGAGGCUCGUGGCGGAUAUCGUUAUUUUCUCACCUUCACAGAUGACUUAAGCAGAUAUGGGUAUAUCUACUUAAUGAAGCAUAAGUCUGAAACAUUUGAAAAGUUCAAAGAAUUUCAGAGUGAAGUUGAAAAUCAUCGUAACAAGAAAAUAAAAUUCCUACGAUCUGAUCGUGGAGGAGAAUAUUUGAGUUACGAGUUUGGUGUACAUUUGAAACAAUGCGGAAUAGUUUCGCAACUCGUGCCACCCGGAACACCACAGCGUAAUGGUGUGCCCGAACGUCAUAACCGUACUUUAUUGGAUAUAGUGCAAUCUAUGAUGUUUCUUACCGAUUUACCACUAUAGUUUUGGGGUUAUGCAUUAGAGACAGCUGCAUUCACGUUAAAAAGGGCACCAUCUAAAUCCGUUGAGACGGCACCGUAUGAACUGUGGUUUGGCAAGAAACCAAAGUUGUCAUUUCUUAAAGUUUGGGGUUGCGAUGCUUAUAUGAAAAAAUUUCAUCCUGAUAAGCUCAAACCCAAAUCGGAGAAGUGCGUCUUCAUAGGAUACCCAAAAGAAAAUGUUGGGUACACCUUCUAUCACAUAUCCGAAGGCAAGAUAUUCGUUGCUGAGAAUGGAUCCUUUCCAGAGAAGGAGUUUCUCUCGAAAGAAGUGAGUGGGAGGAAAGUAGAAAACUUGAUAAGGUAAUUGUACCUUCUCCCUUAUUGGAAAGUAGUUCAUCACAGAAAUAUGUUCUUGUGACUACUACACCAAUUAGUGAGGAAGCUAAUGAUGAUGAUCAUCUAACUUCAGAUCAAGUUACUAUCGAAUCUCGUAGGUAAACCAGAGUGAGAUCCGCACCAGAGUGGUACGGUAAUCUUGUUCUGGAAGUCAUGUUACUAGACCAUGACGAACUUGCGAACUAUGAGGAAGCGAUGAUGAGCCCAGAUUCCGCGAAAUGGUUUGAGGCCAUGAAAUCUGAGAUAUGAUCCAUGUAUGAGAACAAAGUAUUGACUUUGAUGGAUUUGCUCGAUGAUCGGCAAGCCAUAGAAAAUAAAUGGAUCUUCAAGAGGAAGACGGACGCUGAUAGUAGUGUUACUAUCUACAAAGCUAGAAUUGUCGCAAAAGGUUUUCGACAAGUUCAAGGUGUUGACUACGAUGAGAGUUUCUCACUCAUAUCUAUGCUUAAGUCUGUCAGAAUCAUGUUAGCAAUUGCCGCAUUUUAUGAAAUCUGGCAAAUGGAUAAACAAAACUGCAUUCCUUAAUGGAUUUAUUAAAGAAGAGUUGUAUACGAUGCAACUAGAAGGUUUUGUUGAUCCUAAAGGUGUUAACUAAAUAUGCAAGCUCCAGCGAUCCAUCUAUGGACUGGUACAAGCAUCUCGGAGUUAGAAUAUAUGCUUUGAUAAGUUGAUCAAAGCAUAUAGUUUUAUGUAGACUUGCGGUGAAGCCUGUAUUUACAAGAAAGUGAGUGGGAGCACUAGAGCAUUCCUGAUAAGUAUAUGUGAAUGACAUAUUGUUGAUCAGAGAUAAUGUAGAAUUAUUCUGCAAAGCAUAAAGGAAUGUUUGAAAGGAGUUUUUUCAAAGAAAGACCUCGGUGAAGCUGCUUACAUAUUGAGCAUCAAGAUCUAUAGAGAUAGAUCAAGACGCUUGAUAAGUUUUUUCAAUGAGUACAUACCUUGACAAGUUUUUGAAGUAGUUCAAAAUGGAAUAGUCAAAGAAGGAGUUCUUGGCUGUGUUACAAAGGUGUGAAGUUGAGUAAGACUCAAAACCCGACCACGGCAGAAGAUAGAGAGAGAAUGAAAGUCAUUCCCUAUGCCUCAGCUAUAGGUUCUACAAAGUAUGCCAUGCUGUGUACCAGACCUAUUGUAUACCCUGCCCUGAGUUUGGCAAGGGAGUACAAUAGUGAUCUAGGAGUAGAUCACUGGACAUUGGUCAAAAACUAUCCUUAGUGGAAUAAAGAUAUGUUUCUCGAUUAUGGAGGUGACAAAAGGUUCGUCGUAAAGGGUUACGUCGAUGCAAAUUUUUGACACCGAUCUGGAUGACUCUAAGUCUCGAUCUAGAUAUACAUUGAAAGUGGGAGCAAUUAGCUAGAGUAGCUCCGUGCAGAGCAUUGUUGACAUAGAUAUUUGCAAAAUACUUACGGAUCUGAAUAUAACAGACCCGUUGACUAAACUUAUCUCACAAGCAAAACAUGAUCACACCUUAAUACUCUUUGGGUGUUAAUCACAUAGCGAUGUGAACUAGAUUACUGACUCUAGUAAACCCUUUGGGUGUUGGUCACAUAUCGAUGAGAACUAUGGGUGUUAACCACAUAAAGAUGUGAACUAUUGAUGUUAGAUCACAUGGCAAUGUGAACUAGAUUAUUGACUCUAGUGCAAGUGGGAGACUGAAGGAAAUAUGCCCUAGAGGCAAUAAUAAAGUUAUUAUUUAUUUCCUUAUUUCAUGAUAAAUGUUUAUUAUUCAUGCUAGAAUUGAAGGAAAUAUGCCCUAGAGGCAAUAAUAAAGUUAUUAUUUAUUUCCUUAUAAUCAUGAUAAAUGUUUAUUAUUCAUGCUAGAAUUGUAUUAACCGGAAACAUAAUACAUGUGUGAAUACAUAGACAAACAAAGUGUCACUAGUAUGCCUCUACUUGACUAGCUCGUUAAUCAAAGAUGGUUAUGUUUCCUAACCAUGAACAAUGAGUUGUUAUUUUAUUAACGGGAUCACAUCAUUUAGAGAAUGAUCUGAUUGACAUGACCCAUUCCAUUAGCUUAGCACCCAUCGUUUAGUAUGUUGCUAUUGCUUUCUUCAUGACUUAUACAUGUUCCUAUAACUAUGAGAUUAUGCAACUCCCGUUUACCGGAGGAACACUUUGGGUACUACCAAACGUCACAACGUAACUGGGUGAUUAUAAAGGAGUACUACAGGUGUCUCCAAAGGUACAUGUUGGGUUGGCGAUUUUCGAGAUUAGGUUUUGUCACUCCGAUUGUCGGAGAGGUAUCUCUGGGCCCUCUCGGUAAUGCACAUCACUUAAGCCUUGCAAGCAUUGCAACUAAAUGAGUUAGUUGCUGGAUGAUGUAUUACGGAGCGAGUAAAGAGACUUGCCGGCAACGAGAUUGAACUAGGUAUUGGAAUACCGACGAUCGAAUCUUGGGCAAGUAACAUACCGAUGACAAAGGGAACGACGUAUGUUGUUAUGCGGUCUGACCAAUAAAGAUCUUCGUAGAAUAUAUAGGAGCCAAUAUGGGCAUCCAGGUCCCGCUAUUGGUUAUGGACCGGAGACGUGUCUCGGUCAUGUCUACAUUGUUCUUGAACCCGUAGGGUCCGCACGCUUAAGGUUACGAUGACAGUUAUAUUAUGAGUUUAUGCAUUUUGAUGUACCGAAGGUUGUUCAGAGUCCCGGAUGUGAUCACGGACAUAACAAGGAGUCCCGAAAUGGUCAAGACAUAAAGAUUGAUAUAUUGGAAGCCUAUGUUUGGAUACCGGAAGUGUUCCGGGUGAAAUCGGGAUUUUACCGGAGUACCGGGAGGUUACCGGAACCCCCCGGGAGCUAAAUGGGCCAUGAUGGGCCUUAGUGGAAAAGAGAAGAGGCAGCCCUACAUGGGCCGCACGCCCCUCCCCUCCCUUGGUCCGAAUAGGACAAGGAGAGGAGGGCCGGCCCCUCUCUCUCUUUUCCCCCCUCCGCGAAUCCUAUUCCAACUAGGAUUGGGGNNNNNNNNNNNNNNNNNNNNNNNNNNNNNNNNNNNNNNNNNNNNNNNNNNNNNNNNNNNNNNNNNNNNNNNNNNNNNNNNNNNNNNNNNNNNNNNNNNNNNNNNNNNNNNNNNNNNNNNNNNNCUCCUUGGCCGGCCAGCCUCCCCCCUUUUGGUCCUUUAUAUACUGAGGCAGAGGCACCCUAGGACACACAAGUUGAUCAACGUGAUCUAUUCCUUAGCCGUGUGCGGCGCCCCCAGCCACCAUAGUCCUCGAUAAUACUGUAGCGGAGUUUAGGCGAAGCCCUGCUGCUAUAGUGUGACACUCCAAAAUUUUUAUUUGGUUUUCAGCAAAAACUUUGUGGUUUUUGAAAAGAGGCCAUUUAAAAUUUUCCAGAAAACCUUCCUCUUAAAAACUUCCUUUUCUUUGGCAAGGAUUUUAUUUUUCUUCAAACUAUGGUGUUUGAUCUUUUGAAACUUCUUCUCUGUUGGUUCCCUCUCAAAUUUAUUUUGGGAGUUUAAUAUUUUUUUCUUUUAAAAAGAAACUCUAUGAAAAUUUGGGAUUUUCAUAUCUUGGAAACCACCCAUGACUUUGUAUUUUGCCCAUGUGGUAAAACCCCUCCAAACCCCCCCCUCCUCCUUGUAAUCAACCUAAGUUCUCUGUCCCAACUAAUCCAAGCAAGUUUUGGAUUUUAUUCUAAUUUUCUUUCCCCUCAAAUCUUUUCUGCAAAUUAUUUGGAGCCUGAGAGAUUUUUCAAAGCAAGUACCCUUUUGCACUUGAGUUUUGACCUCAAACCAACUCUCCUGGAUGGUCCUUUGUACCCACAACCCAGAACCAUCUUGAUCCACUCCUCCUCUUUUCAAAUUUUUCAAAUUUCAGUCUCUGCAAGUUUGGACCAGAUUUGCCAAAUUUGGUGAAAUUCAUAUCUACACUUCUUCUAAAAUUCCACCAAAAUUCAGGCAGCCUACUGGAGCAAUGAGUAGCCACUCCACCAAGUUUCAGCUCAAGGAAAAAUCCCUAGAUGCCUAGAUCAUUCCGUCGAACACCUUGCAUGCACUGUUCUGUUCAUCUUCAGUUAAGUUCAGAAAUUCAGUGUCUUUUUUCCUUCGUCAGACUCGGUCACGCGGCCACAGUGUGCCCUGGCGCGUUGCACGCAGCCUCUUCCCCUUGACCAGCACCCCGCACGCACGCUUGGCCGAUUCCUGGCGUCGGUAGCGACGAGCCUCGCCGGUGUUGGAAGCUUCUGCGGUGGCUGCACCUUCCGUGGCGGCCAGCGAGGGCCCGAGCCCGCUCGCCACGCCACCCGGCGCCGCCCAACGCCCCCUGGCUCUCCGCGUGUCCCUGCCAUGCCAACACACGCCCGUGGCACCGUCGUCGUGGCCCGGCAAGCACGGAACGUGCUCCCUGCCGCCGACGGGCCGCACCACCCCCGUUCCGUCGAGCUCACCCUAAACACCCAAAUCCCGGCUAGUUUAGCACCCAAACGGACCCAGUGAACCCCCACGACGGCGCUCGACCCCUAAACCUCCCCGACCAAAGCACUGCGCCGCCGUAACCUUCACCGGAGAUCCCCGUUCACGGCCACCGCCUCGGAUCGCCUAUAAAAAGGACCCUGAGCUCGCUCACGACCCCCACACCCUCACUGCACCUCUCCAAGACCCUGCCAAGCCACCAGGAGGACCUCGAGGAGGUCUCCUCCCCUGACUCCGGCCGCCCCAUUCCGCCUCGGCCUCCACCUCGAUUCGCUCCGGUGAGGCCGUCGCCGGCGCCCAAACCCCGUCAGUUACCCCCUCUAGCUACCAGAAGUCUAACCCCCUCCUCAAUUUGGCCUUCGCAGCUCCAUCCGACGAGACCCUCGACCACCCGAACCGUCGUCCACCGGAGCAAGGCUCGCCGUCGACGUGGUGCUCGCCGACCGCCACCACCACCACCAACCGACGUGGAAGGGCGCCCUGAACACGGAGGUACCACUCCGAUCUUCCUGCCUCGCCGUGGAUCGCCGCCGGCAACCACCGCGGCUCUCGGGCGCCGACGAGCUUCGUCCCCCGUUUGAAAGUUUAAACCUGACGAGUGGGACCCGCCCAUCAGCCUCUCAGAUCCUUUUAAACGAAUUGUUUUCUGAAAACGCCUUCGGGCAAAAUACGCUUUCCCCUCUGGGCUGGCGUAUUCAAGACUGGAACGUUUUCUGUUUUUAUAAGCUAGCCCCUGGAAAUCUUCUGUUUCACUACAGAUGAGUCCCUGGACAAAAACCUUUAUAACUUUUAAACAGAAAAGUAUUUUUGAUUGAUCCUUUUUCUGUCCUCUUUAAAAUUUUGUCUAGUUUUUUAUUAGAUUUAUUUGAAAAAUAUUUGGAAUACUUUUUGUGCACCUCUUGGUAUUUACGAUAGCGCAUAUAUUUUCUUUAUACCGUAGAUACCGAAGGAGGUGACGGAGCCGCGAACUUCACCGAACUAGGCUCCGACUACUCCGAACCAGGCAAGCAUGUUCGAACUUUUGAUAUGAUGAUUGUUUUGGCAUGUUUGCAUUAAGUAGUUUAUGGCAUGUUGAUGAACAUACCGACGAAUGUCCUGUUUCCUGAGAUGAUGAGGCAAGUGAGUUUCGAAAAUCCAUGAGUGGAUGGAUGUGAGUAUGCAUGGCCAUGUGUUGGCAUGAGGAUGGGUAAGAUGGCAGUGUUGUAGCAUGCCAGGCUUAUGCCAGACUAUGUGACUUCAAUGUCAACUCGUAUCAUUCCAGUUCCUUCCAUUCUUCCUUACUUGUACUACCACAUGUUUUCCGCAAGGAAUAUGGCUUAGUAAGUUGUAAACCGCUUUCCUGGUACACACCAAAAAGGAGAGGCCGUGAUGAUGGUUCCAUGGCCCUGGAUUAAAGCCAGUCAUCCGGUCAGGGGGCAUGGGUGUUUCCGGUUGGGACCGAGAGGGGGGCACCCCUUAGAGCGCGCGUAUAUAAAUUUGAUCCCAUGCUAUUCGAGAUUGUAAUCUCCCCGUCUCAAAAGUUUUUCUUGGACGAUGUCUAGGGUGAUUCCUAGCAUCGAGAGGUAGGAUGGGUGUGUACUGGUUAGCUGUGUUUUCUUCCGAAAUACCGUAAACGGAACUAGUCCUUCGUGACUACGGAAAUCCGUUGGCUGUGGGAAAAAUCUUGUACAAACUCUGCAGAGUCAUAUAUUCCUUCGAAUCAUCUAUUCCAUGUCCAAGUUCGAUAUUAACUUAUCUUGACCAAAUGUCAGUUUUGAUGACAGAGACUCCGGUGAACCGCAUGAGUGCUAAGUCCGGUUAAAUGAUUAUUCCUGUGGAUGGACUAACCCGUGUAUUCUCAUGAAUUGAAUAUUUAUUAUGAGCAUUAUUUCCUUGUGAAUAAAAGCCCUUUAUGUGGUGUCGCUAAGACGCCCGACUGUGGCAUCUCUUUUAAAGCCCUUUCUGUGAUGUCGCCUCGACGUCCGACUAUGGCAUUCCUUUUAAAGCCCUUUAUGUGGUGUCGCUAAGAUGCCCGACUGUGGUAUUUCUUUUAAAGCCCUUUCUGUGAUGUCGCCCCGACGUCCGACUGUGGCAUUUCUCUUAAAGCCCUUUAUGUGGUGUCGCUAAGACGCCCGACUGUGGUAUUUCUUUUAAAGCCCUUUCUGUGAUGUCGCCCCGACGUCCGACUGUGGCAUUUCUUUUAAAGCCCUUUAUGUGGUGUCGCUAAGACGCCCGACUGUGGUAUUUCUUUUAAAGCCCUUUCUGUGAUGUCGCCCCAACGUCCGACUGUGGCAUUUCUUUUAAAGCCCUUUAUGUGGUGUCGCUAAGACGCCCGACUGUGGCAUCAUUUCCUUAUAUUUAUUUGUUCACCUUUCGAGGCGUCGCUUCAGACACCCGAUCGGUCUUCAUUUAUGUUUUGUGGGAUUUCAGGCGGACUACCGCCGUUUCCCUUUUACUUACCUCGUUAUGCUAAUUUUUGAAUGUACAUUGGUGAAUUAAUCAUGACGCAUUCAUGCAUGCAUUUGUUAUAUCUUACGUCUGAACUGUCUUGCGAGUACUUUCAAAGUACUCACUGGCUUGUUGAUUUGGCCAGAUGCUGGCGAAGGCGAUCUCAUGGAUGAAGAAUUUGAUAGCGAGUCCGACGCCUAGAGGAGUCCCAGUCAGUCUCGUACGACCCUGGAUUUGGUCACUGUAUUAUAUCCGCUUCCGCUACCAAAUAAAUUCAUCGAGCCUCACCUCGACGCUCAAUGAGAUGACAGUUUUAGAGACUUGUAUCUCUCUCCCCGCUGUGUUUCUCCACCACCGCCCUGUCCUCGAGUCAGUAGUAUGCCUCCACACCACUGUGUCAUGUCCGCCAUUAUGUAUAUUUAUUGGCGUGCUUGUAAUAAUUUGGUUGAGCAACCGUAGUUCGACCCUGUAAUAUAUUUUAUGCUACUGGCUUAUUGUAUCAAGAAUUUGUCUACCAGUGAGGAGGAUUUCUCUCAUACUGGACUCAAAAGAUUGGUUUCUCAAUAAAUAUUUUUAUUGGAAAACCGGUCGUGACAAGCUUGGUACCAGAGCCAGGCUGACUGUAGGAAGCCACUAGGUGCGAUCGCUAAUUGGUUAUUAGCUUGAUUGAGCCUUUUCAUAUUUUCUUGAUUGUAGUCAUUUUCUGUCAGUCAGCAUAAAUUUAUGAUCUGACCUUGCAGAUUUUUUGCCUACUUUUGUAGAUGGCUGACAACAGCUGCGAGUCUCAGACCUUCGCCAACGUGCCCGAUGGGUUCGUCAAGCUUCUUUCCUUCAUCGUUCAGGUCGCGAUGGGGCCAUCUGUGCGCCCUGUCUUCACACUCUGCCAGCACCGAGUCAACGACAGUCUGACCAUGCACCAGGCCGCGGUGCAGUUCAAGGGAGGGCGUGGUGAGUUACGCCGCUUCCGGUUCUUGGGAAGAGCCAUGCCUACGGAGAGGCAUGCCAUGCAGAUGGCAGCCCGCGAGGCGAUAGCUCGUCUCAGGGAUGUCCUCCCCGUGAUGAAGACUCGUCGUUACCGUUAUCUUCCAUGCCAUGUGCCUUACACCUGUCACUACGCAUUCUCCUGCCCCAGAGGAGAACGAGACGAGGCUUUUGAGAUGCUCAUUGAGUAUCUCCGGGCCCUGGAGGCAGCCUUCGACAACCUGGUGGACGACUUCGUGGCUGCCCGCAUGGACUCAGUUCAUGGCUGUGCUGCCAACAGGAGGGAGCUCCUACCCACCGCACCGCCACUGACUUUGGUCUCGUCCUCAGCAUCUUAUACGCCUACUCGUCGCCUACCUUCUACAGAAGAAUUCAACCAAGUCAUUGCACCCACUCCAGUGCGCACUGCACCACCCUUCGCGCCCACUUCUGUUCGUGUUGUUCCGCCCCUGGCACCCGCUCCGUCCACUCUGCGCAACACUACACGUAUGGAGCCUAUUAGCGAGGAGGAAGUCGAGUCCCCAACCUCGCUACGCCUCGCCCUCGGUAGGGCAAAGGAGGUCGUCAACAUCUCCGCCUGAGUACGCUUAGCCGCCAUGUAAUGUACCGCUUUGUAUGAUAUGUUUAUAUGUACAUAGGUUGUGAGAAGUAGCCUGUUUGCGCAUCAUGUAGGAUCUGGAGAAGUGCACUAGCCUAAAUAACAUGUCAGUAUUAUGUACGCAUAUCCUGAGUGAUGUAUUGUAUAAUUACCGCCCACGUGUAAGAUAUGUAAUGAGCAGUCCUUCUCCGUGCGCAAGUCGAUUUGUUUUUCUUAAGUAAGCCUGGUUAUUUAAUUUUAUUUGCCAGCUUUAUGCAUUUAUGGAUUUGUUUUUGCGACUCUUUCCGCUUUUCUUAUGGGUUUUACAAAUAUAUCCCCAGAGUGAAAAAUGUCUCGUCCUUGGACUCGCUCCAUGCUAACUCCACCAGAGGAAAAUUAUGAUACACAACCCAGCAACGAGUUCACUCAGGGACAGUCAAGCCAACAGGGCAGUGAAUCGGCACUUUCACAAAUGUGCCGCCUUUAUGAGCAGAGUCAGCAACAACAUCGGGAAAUGAUGAACCAAGUCAUCAACAUGGGAAAUCACCAUGGACAGUAUCAGCAGCAUUCCAAGUUAUCUGAGCUACAGAAGACCCGUCCCCAAACAUUUUCUCAGACUGACAAGCCUCUUGAAGCCGAGGAUUGGCUUCGAGAUAUGGAGAGAAAAUUAAUUAUUGCAAAAUGUUCAGAUCUCGAGAAAGUACUAUAUGCUCCACACUAUCUCACAGGAGCAGCUGCAUCAUGGUGGGAGAAUUUUCUGCACAUGCACCCCAACGAAAAUGAUAUAACCUGGGAUGAUUUCAAGGAAGGUUUCCGUGGUGCACACAUUCCCAAGAGUAUUAUGAAAAUUAAGAAGAGAGAGUUCGAUGACCUCAAACAAAGGAACAUGACAGUGUCAGAAUACAACGGUCAAUUUACUCUAUUGUCCCGCUAUGCCAAUGAAGAACGUAUGUCUGAAAGCAAGAAGAUGGAGAAAUUCCUUGACGGUCUGGCGCCCGCGCUUAAAUGCCAACUGGUAGUUCACACUUUUCCAGAUUUUAAGACACUAGUGGACAAAGCUAUUACUCUGGAAAAUGAGAGACGUAGCUUGGAGGAUUUACGUAAGCGAAAAAGAGACCAGACUACUCUUGCACGCAACCACCGAAGCAGGACAGAUUUUCAAAAAGGUGGGACACACAAACCUACAACAAACAUCUCUCGCCCAACCAAGAAUUUCCAUGCAAGUUACAAAGAGUUCACAUAUCGCCCAGGCGUUACUUGCUACGCUUGUGGAGAAGAAGGGCACUACGCCAAACAGUGCCCCAAGCCAAGGAACUCGACCUCGAAGCCAAACAAUGGUGGAAAUAAUUCAGCGCCCAAGUGCAACAAUUUCAACCCCAACAACAACCACAGGAAGGGUCAUCUAAACCACGUGACCAAAGAAGAAGCACAAAAUGCUCCGGAUAUCAUACUCGGUACGUUUCCUGUCAACACAAUACCUGCAACAGUUUUGUUUGAUUCUGGAGCUUCUCACUCAUUCAUUUUGAAAAGUUUUGCUUUGCAAAAUAAUUUUUCGAUGUUUCCCUUGGAAAAAUCCAUAAUCAUCAAGUCCCCUGGGAUUCAGCAAGUUACUCAGAGUUACUGUCAGAAUGUGGUCAUUGAGUUCGAAGGAUUGAAUUUUUUUGCCAAUCUUAUUGUGUUGGAAAAUAAAGGACUGGAUGUCAUCCUAGGGAUGGACUGGUUAACCACCAACAAAGGUUUUAUUGACCGUUUCAACCGGACCGUAAUUCUCACGCACCACCACGGGAAGACAAUAAAAGUAUCAGCCAAGGAAAGAAAAAUACCCCGGCAGCCGAGAUUGAAUAAGGUGGACGUUUCUGAGUUAAGCAAGGUUCCAGUAGUAUGUGAAUUUCCAGACGUAUUUCCCGAAGAACUACCAGGCAUGCCACCAGACCGAGAAAUAGAAUUCAGCAUUGAGCUAGCACCAGGAACCACCCCCAUAUACAAGAAACCAUACAGAAUGGCACCAUCCGAGUUGAUCGAGUUGAAGAAACAAAUAAAGGAAUUACUGGACAAGGGAUACAUUCGAGCCAGCUCCUCACCUUGGGGAUCACCAAUUUUAUUUGCCAAAAAGAAGGAUGGAACACUAAGAUUGUGCAUAGACUACCGAGCACUUAACAUGGUCACAGUCAAGAACAAAUACCCGAUGCCACGAAUAAAUGAUUUAUUUGAUCAGCUCGCUCAGGCCAAGGUAUUCUCAAAGAUUGACUUAAGGUCAGGAUACCAUCAAUUAAAAGUGCGAACAGAAGAUAUCCCCAAAACAGCCUUCACCUCCAGAUAUGGACUAUAUGAGUUCACAGUUAUGCCUUUUGGAUUAACAAACGCCCCCGCAUAUUUUGUUCACCUCAUGAACAAAGUAUUUAUGAAGUUUAUGGACAAGUUCGUUGUGGUAUUUAUCGAUGAUAUUCUGAUAUACUCCAAAAGACCAGAAGAGCACGCGGAACAUCUCAGGAUUGUGCUAGGAGAACUCAGGAAACAUCAAUUGUAUGCCAAGUUCAGCAAGUGCGAAUUUUGGCUAAGACAAGUAGGCUUUCUAGGUCACGUGCUGACCCAAGACGGUAUCACAGUGGACCCAGAGAAAGUUAGGGCCAUACUUGACUGGAAGGCACCAGCCAGCGUAACGGACAUACGAAGUUUCUUGGGAAUGGCAGGAUACUACCGCAGAUUUAUUGAAGGAUUCUCCACUCUAGCCAAGCCAAUGACGCAGUUACUCAAGAAGGACAAGAAAUUUGAAUGGACAGAAGCCUGCGAAAAAAGUUUCCAAGAGUUAAAACAGAAAUUAACCACAGCACCGGUAUUAAUUGUGCCAGACAUACACAAAAACUUUGAGGUGUAUUGUGACGCAUCUCGAAAAGGUCUCGGGUGCGUGUUGAUGCAAGAAGGCAAGGUUGUCGCAUACGCUUCACGACAACUCCGCAAGCAUGAGGAAAAUUAUCCCACUCAUGACUUAGAAAUGGCAGCAGUCAUUCAUGCACUUAAGGAAUGGAGGCAUUUCUUACUUGGGAAUCGAUGUGAAAUAUACACGGACCAUAAAAGUCUCAAAUAUAUUUUCACACAGCCAGAACUAAACUUACGGCAACGACGCUGGUUGGAAUUGGUAAAGGAUUAUGAUGUUGGUAUCCACUAUCAUCCAGGGAAAGCAAAUGUAGUGGCCAAUGCUCUUAGUCGAAACCCCAGCUCCGACGAAAACAGUCUGCAAAGUUUGAGACCCGAAUUCCAACAAGAAUUUGCCAAACUCAACUUGUUAAUGAUCGCGGGAGGCACCAUAUCAAACUUGGAAAUAAAGCCCGACCUUGUGGAGAGAAUUAAAGAAGCUCAGCCUGGUCACCCCAGCAUUGAAGGAAUUAAAAGAAAGGUGAGUAUGGUCAAGGCCUCGGAAUUUGUCAUAGGCGAUGAUGGAAUAUUAUGGUACGGGGACAGACUCUGCGUGCCAAACAUAGAGGAUCUCAGACAGCAAAUCCUAGCUGAAGCACACACCACUCCAUAUUCAAUCCACCCUGGAGGAACCAAAAUGUAUAAGGAUAUUCAGGAAAGAUUUUGGUGGCACGGUAUGAAGAGGGACAUAGCCACAUUCGUUGCAUGUUGCGAUUCUUGUCAACGCAUAAAAGUUGAGCAUCAAAAACCAGCCGGACUACUGCAACCAAACAAAAUACCUGAGUGGAAAUGGGAUGAAAUAGGGAUGGAUUUUAUUGUCGGACUACCUCGGUCACGACACGGGAAUGAUGCCAUAUGGGUCAUCACCGAUAGAUUAACCAAGGUGGCACAUUUCAUUCCAGUGAAGACAACCUACAACACUCAGAAGCUUGCCAGGAUUUAUCUCUCCCGUAUAGUUUGUCUACAUGGAGUCCCGAAGACUAUAAUAUCUGACAGAGGCACUCAAUUUGUCUCGAGAUUCUGGGAUCAUUUACAACAGGCUCUGGGAACUCAAUUGGCCUUCAGCAUAGCCUAUCAUCCCCAGACUGAUGGACAGACUGAACGCGUAAACCAAAUUUUAGAAGACAUGCUGAGAGCAUGUGUCCUCACCUAUGGAACCAGUUGGGAAGAAAGCCUGCCAUAUGCCGAGUUCGCAUACAACAACAGUUACCAGGCCAGCCUGCAAAUGGCACCUUUUGAAGCCCUAUACGGACAGAGAUGUCGUACCCCGCUAAAUUGGUCAGAGACCGGAGACAGCCGUAUCUUCGGCCCAGACGUGCUCAAAGAAGCCGAGGAAAAAGUCAAGCUAAUCAGGGACCGACCCAAGACCGCUCAAAGCCGACAGAAGAGUUAUUACGAUCAGAAACAUCGUGGGGUCAAUUUUGAACCCGGUGAAUUUGUGUACAUACGAGUAUCACCUAUGAGGGGACUGCAACGGUUUAAGAUUAAAGGAAAGUUAGCACCAAGAUUCAUUGGACCAUUCUGCAUAGUGGCACGAAGAGGCACUGUAGCCUACCAGCUAGACUUACCCGAAGACUUGUCCGACAUUCACGACGUGUUCCACGUCUCUCAAUUAAGGAAGUGCGUAAGCAAACCAGAGAAACAAGUAUUCCAUGAGAACAUUGACGUGCAGCCAGACCUCACUUAUCGGGAACGCCCAGUAAAAAUAUUAGAGGAGUCUGAAAGGAGAACCCGACAGAAGACCAUCAAGUUUUUCAGAGUUCAGUGGAGCAACCACACCGAAAGCGAAGCAACUUGGGAAAGAGAGGAUUUUCUUCGGACAGAACAUCCAUACUUAUUUAAGGAUCAGCUGGAAUCUCGGGGACGAGAUUUUUCCUAAGGGGGUAGGUGUUGUGACACUCCAAAAUUUUUAUUUGGUUUUCAGCAAAAACUUUGUGGUUCUUGAAAAGAGGCCAUUUAAAAUUUUCCAAAAAACCUUCCUCUUAAAAACUUCCUUUUCUUUGGCAAGGAUUUUAUUUUUCUUCAAACUAUGGUGUUUGAUCUUUUGAAACUUCUUCUCUGUUGGUUCCCUCUCAAAUUUAUUUUGGGAGUUUAAUCUUUUUUUCUUUUAAAAAGAAACUCUAUGAAAAUUUGGGAUUUUCAUAUCUUGGAAACCACCCAUGACUUUGUAUUUUGCCCAUGUGGUAAAACCCCUCCAAAACCUCCCCUCCUCCUUAUAAUCAACCUAAGUUCUCUGUCCCAACUAAUCCAAGCAAGUUUUGGAUUUUAUUCUAAUUUUCUUUCCCCUCAAAUCUUUUCUGCAAAUUAUUUGGAGCCUGAGAGAUUUUUCAAAGCAAGUACCCUUUUGCACUUGAGUUUUGACCUCAAACCAACUCUCCUGGAUGGUCCUUUGUACCCACAACCCAGAACCAUCUUGAUCCACUCCUCCUCUUUUCAAAUUUUUCAAAUUUCAGUCUCUGCAAGUUUGGACCAGAUUUGCCAAAUUUAGUGAAAUUCAUAUCUACACUUCUUCUAAAAUUCCACCAAAAUUCAGGCAGCCUACUGGAGCAAUGAGUAGCCACUCCACCAAGUUUCAGCUCAAGGAAAAAUCCCUAGAUGCCUAGAUCAUUCUGUCGAACACCUUGCAUGCACUGUUCUGUUCAUCUUCAGUUAAGUUCAGAAAUUGAGUGUCGUUUUUCCUUCGUCAGACUCGGUCACGCGGCCACAGUGCGCCCUGGCGCGUUGCACACAACCUCUUCCCCUUGACCAGCACCCCGCACGCACGCUUGGCCGAUUCCUGGCGUCGGUAGCGAUGAGCCUCGCCGGCGUUGGAAGCUUCUGCGGUGGCUGCACCUUCCGUGGCGGCCAGCGAGGGCCCGAGCCCGCUCGCCACGCCACCCGGUGCCGCCCAACGCCCCCUGGCUCUCCGCGUGUCCCUGCCAUGCCAACGCACGCCCGUGGCACCGUCGCCGUGGCCCGGCAAGCACGGAAUGUGCUCCCUGCCGCCGACGGGCCGCGCCACCCCCGUUCCGUCGAGCUCGCCCUAAACACCCAAAUCCCGGCUAGUUUAGCACCCAAACGGACCCAGUGAACCCCCACGACGGCGCUCGACCCCUAAACCUCCCCGACCAAAGCACUGCGCCGCCGUAACCUUCACCGGAGAUCCCCGUUCACGGCCACCGCCUCGGAUCGCCUAUAAAAAGGACCCCGAGCUCGCUCACGACCCCCACACCCUCACUGCACCUCUCCAAGACCCUGCCAAGCCACCAGGAGGACCUCGAGGAGGUCUCCUCCCCUGACUCCGGCCGCCCCGUUCCGCCUCGGCCUCCACCUCGAUUCGCUCCGGUGAGGCCGUCGCCGGCGCCCAAACCCCGUCAGUUACCCCCUCUAGCUACCAGAAGUCUAACCCCCUCCUCAAUUUGGCCUUCGCAGCUCCAUCCGACGAGACCCUCGACCACCCGAACCGCCGUCCGCCGGAGCAAGGCUCGCCGUCGACGUGGUGCUCGCCGACCGCCACCACCACCACCAACCGACGCGGAAGGGCGCCCUGAACACGGAGGUACCCUCCGAUCUUCCUGCCUCGCCGUGGAUCGCCGCCGGCGACCACCGCGGCUCUCGGGCGCCGACGAGCUUCGUCCCCCGUUUGAAAGUUUAAACCUGACGAGUGGGACCCGCCCGUCAGCCUCUCAGAUCCUUUUAAACGAAUCAUUUUCUGAAAACGCCUUCGGGCAAAAUACGCUUUCCCCUCUGGGCUGGCGUAUUCAAGACUGGAACGUUUUCUGUUUUUAUAAGCUAGCCCUUGGAAAUCUUCUGUUUCACUACAGAUGAGUCCCUGGACAAAAACCUUUAUAAGUUUUAAACAGAAAAGUAUUUUUGAUUGAUCCUUUUUCUGUCCUCUUUAAAAUUUUGUCUAGUUUUUUAUCAGAUUUAUUUGAAAAAUAUUUGGAAUACUUUUUGUGCACCUCUUGGUAUUUACGAUAGCGCAUAUAUUUUCUUUAUACCGUAGAUACCGAAGGAGGUGACGGAGCCGCGAACUUCACCGAACUAGGCUCCGACUACUCCGAACCAGGCAAGCAUGUUUGAACUUUUGAUAUGAUGAUUGUUUUGGCAUGUUUGCAUUAAGUAGUUUAUGGCAUGUUGAUGAACAUACCGACGAAUGUCCUGUUUCCUGAGACGAUGAGGCAAGUGAGUUUCGAAAAUCCAUGAGUGGAUGGAUGUGAGUAUGCAUGGCCAUGUGUUGGCAUGAGGAUGGGUAAGAUGGCAGUGUUGUAGCAUGCCAGGCUUAUGCCAGACUAUGUGACUUCAAUGUCAACUCGUAUCAUUCCAGUUCCUUCCAUUCUUCCUUCCUUGUACUACCACAUGUUUUCCGCAAGGAAUAUGGCUUAGUAAGUUGUAAACUGCUUUCCUGGUACACACCAAAAAGGAGAGGCCGUGAUGAUGGUUCCAUGGCCCUGGAUUAAAGCCAGUCAUCCGGUCAGGGGGCAUGGGUGUUUCCGGUUGGGACCGAGAGGGGGGCACCCCUUAGAGCGCGCGUAUAUAAAUUUGAUCCCAUGCUAUUCGAGAUUGUGAUCUCCCCGUCUCAAAAGUUUUUCUUGGACGAUGUCUAGGGUGAUUCCUAGCAUCGAGAGGUAGGAUGGGUGUGUACUGGUUAGCUGUGUUUUCUUCCGAAAUACCAUAAACGGAACUAGUCCUUCGUGACUACGGAAAUCCGUUGGCUGUGGGAAAAUUUUUGUACAAACUCUGCAGAGUCAUAUAUUCCUUCGAAUCAUCUAUUCCAUGUCCAAGUUCGAUAUUAACUUAUCUUGACCAAAUGUCAGUUUUGAUGACAGAGACUCCGGUGAACCGCAUGAGUGCUAAGUCCGGUUAAAUGAUUAUUCCUGUGGAUGGACUAAUCUGUGUAUUCUCAUGAAUUCAAUAUUUAUUAUGAGCAUUAUUUCCUUGUGAAUAAAAGCCCUUUAUGUGGUGUCGCUAAGAUGCCCGAUUGUGGCAUCUCUUUUAAAGCCCUUUCUGUGAUGUCGCCUCGACGUCCGACUAUGGCAUUCCUUUUAAAGCCCUUUAUGUGGUGUCGCUAAGACGCCCGACUGUGGUAUUUCUUUUAAAGCCCUUUCUGUGAUGUCGCCCCGACGUCCGACUGUGGCAUUUCUCNNNNNNNNNNNNNNNNNNNNNNNNNNNNNNNNNNNNNNNNNNNNNNNNNNNNNNNNNNNNNNNNNNNNNNNNNNNNNNNNNNNNNNNNNNNNNNNNNNNNNNNNNNNNNNNNNNNNNNNNNNNNNNNNNNNNNNNNNNNNNNNNNNNNNNNNNNNNNNNNNNNNNNNNNNNNNNNNNNNNNNNNNNNNNNNNNNNNNNNNNNNNNNNNNNNNNNNNNNNNNNNNNNNNNNNNNNNNNNNNNNNNNNNNNNNNNNNNNNNNNNNNNNNNNNNNNNNNNNNNNNNNNNNNNNNNNNNNNNNNNNNNNNNNNNNNNNNNNNNNNNNNNNNNNNNNNNNNNNNNNNNNNNNUGUCGCUAAGACGCCCGACUGUGGUAUUUCUUUUAAAGCCCUUUCUGUGAUGUCGCCCCGACGUCCGACUGUGGCAUUUCUUUUAAAGCCCUUUAUGUGGUGUCGCUAAGACGCCCGACUGUGGUAUUUCUUUUAAAGCCCUUUCUGUGAUGUCGCCCCAACGUCCGACUGUGGCAUUUCUUUUAAAGCCCUUUAUGUGGUGUCGCUAAGACGCCCGACUGUGGCAUCAUUUCCUUAUAUUUAUUUGUUCACCUUUCGAGGCGUCGCUUUAGACACCCGAUCGGUCUUCAUUUAUGUUUUGUGGGAUUUCAGGCGGACUACCGCCGUUUCCCUUUUACUUACCUCGUUAUGCUAAUUUUUGAAUGUACAUUGGUGAAUUAAUCAUGACGCAUUCAUGCAUGCAUUUGUUAUAUCUUACGUCCGAACUGUCUUGCGAGUACUUUCAAAGUACUCACUGGCUUGUUGAUUUGGCCAGAUGCUGACGAAGGCGAUCUCAUGGAUGAAGAAUUUGAUAGCGAGUCCGACGCCUAGAGGAGUCCCAGUCAGUCUCGUACGACCCUGGAUUUGGUCACUGUAUUAUAUCCGCUUCUGCUACCAAAUAAAUUCAUCGAGCCUCACCUCGACGCUCGAUGAGAUGACAGUUUUAGAGACUUGUAUCUCUCUCCCCGCUGUGUUUCUCCACCACCGCCCUAUCCUCGAGUCAGUAGUAUGCCUCCACACCACUGUGUCAUGUCCGCCAUUAUGUAUAUUUAUUGGCGUGCUUGUAAUAAUUUGGUUGAGCAACCGUAGUUCGACCCUGUAAUAUAUUUUAUGCUACUGGCUUAUUGUAUCAAGAAUUUGUCUACCAGUGAGGAGGAUUUCUCUCAUACUGGACUCAAAAGAUUGGUUUCUCAAUAAAUAUUUUUAUUGGAAAACUGGUCAUGACAUGUAGUGCAUCAAGAUCAUCACCACGCCGUCGUGCUGACGAAACUCUUCCCCGACACUUUGCUGGAUCGGAGUCCGGGGAUCGUCAUCGAGCUGAACGUGUGCUAGAACUCGGAGGUGCCGUAGUUUUGGUGCUUGAUCGGUCGGAUCGUGAAGACGUACGACUACAUCAACCAAACACUUCCAUUGUCGAUCUACUAGGUAUGUAGAUCAUACUCCCCCUCUCGUUGCUAUGCAUCACAUAAUCUUGCGUGUGCGUAGGAAUUUUUUUGAAAUUACUACGAAACCCAACAAGAAUUGUAUUAACCGGAAACAUAAUACUUGUGUGAAUACAUAGACAAACUAAACGUCACUAGUAUGCCUCUACUUAACUAGCUCGUUGAUCGAAGAUGGUUAUGUUUUCUAACCAUAGACAUAUGUUGUCAUUUGAUUAACAGGAUCACAUCAUUAGGAGAAUGAUGUGAUUGACAUGACCCAUUCCAUUAGCUUAGCACCCGAUCAUUUAGUAUGUUGCUAUUGCUUUCAUCAUGACUUAUACAUGUUCCUAUGACUAUGAGAUUAUGCAACUCCCGUUUGCCGGAGGAACACUUUGUGUGCUACCAAACGUCACAACAUAACUGGGUGAUUAUAAAGGAGCUCUACAGGUGUCUCCAAAGGUACAUGAUCAACAUCAAGGCUCCAUGGGUGUUAGAAUCAUUACUGUGUAAUCUAGAUUAUUGACUCUAGUGCAAGUGGGAGACUGAAGGAAAUAUGCCCUAGAGGCAAUAAUAAAGUUAUUAUUUAUUUCCUUAUAUCAUGAUAAAUGUUUAUUAUUCAUGCUAGAAUUGCAUUAACCGGAAACAUAAUACAUGUGUGAAUACAUAGACAAACAGAGUGUCACUAGUAUGCCUCUACUUGACUAGCUCGUUAAUCAAAGAUGGUUAUGUUUCCUAACCAUAAACAAGGAGUUGUUAUUUGAUUAACGGGAUCACAUCAUUAGGUGAAUGAUCUGAUUGACAUGACCCAUUCCAUUAGCUUAGCACCCGAUCGUUUAGUAUGUUGCUGUUGCCUUCUUCAUGACUUAUACAUGUUCCUAUGACUAUGAGAUUAUGCAACUCCCAUUUGCCGGAGGAACACUUUGUGUGCUACCAAACGUCACAACGUAAAUGGGUGAUCAUAAAGGUGCUCUACAGGUGUCUCCAAAGGUACAUGUUGGGUUGGCGUAUUUCGAGAUUAGGAUUUGUCACUCCGAUUGUCGGAGAGGUAUCUCUGGGCCCUCUCCGUAAUGCACAUCACAUAAGCCUUGCAAGCAUUGCAACUAAUGAGUUAGUUGCGAGAUGAUGUAUUAUGGAACGAGUAAAGAGACUGGCCGGUAACUAGAUUGAACUAGGUAUUGAGAUACCGACGAUCGAAUCUCGGGCAAGUAACAUACCGAUGACAAAGGGAACAACGUAUGUUGUUAUGCGGUCUGACCGAUAAAGAUCUUCGUAGAAUAUGUAGGAGCCAAUAUGAGCAUCCAGGUUCCGCUAUUGGUUAUUGACCGGAGACGUGUCUUGGUCAUGUCUACAUUGUUCUUGAACCCGUAGGGUCCGCACGCUUAAGGUUUCGAUGACAGUUAUAUUAUGAGUUUAUGAGUUUUGAUGUACCGAAGUUAGUUCGGAGUCCCGGAUGUGAUCACGGACAUAACGAGGAGUCUCGAAAUGGUCGAGACAUAAAGAUUGAUAUAUUAGACGGCUAUAUUCGGACACCGAAAGUGUUCCGGGUGAUUUCGGAGAAAACCGGAGAGCCGGAGGGUUACCGGAACCCUACCGGGAGAAGUAAUGGGCCAUAUGGGCCUUAGUGGAGAGAGAGAGGGGCAGCCAGGGUGGGCCGCGCGCCUCCUCCCCCUGGUCCGAAUUGGACUAGGAGAGGGGGGCGGCGCCCCCCUUUCCUUCUCCCUCCCCACUUCCUUCCCCCUCCUAGUAGGAGUCCUACUCCUACUAGGAGGAGGACUCCUCCUGGCGCACCAAUAGGGGCCAGCCGGCCUCCUCCCCUUGCUCCUUUAUAUACGGGGGCAGGGGGCACCCCUAGACACACAAGUUGAUCCACAUGAUCAUAUUCUUAGCCGUGUGCGGUGCCCCCUUCCACCAUAAUCCUCGAUAAUAUUGUGGCGGUGCUUAGGCGAAGCCCUGCGACGGUAGUACAUCAAGAUCGUCACCACGCUGUCGUGCUGACGGAACUCUACCCAACACUUUGCUGGAUCGGAGUCCGGGGAUCGUCAUCGAGCUGAACAUGUGCUAAAACUCGGAGGUGCCGUAGUUUCGGUGCUUGAUCGGUCGGGCCGCGAAGACGUACGACUACAUCAACCGCGUUGUGCUAACGCUUCCGCUAUCGGUCUACAAGGGUACAUAGAUCACACUCCCCUCUCGUUGCUAUACAUCACCAUGAUCUUGCGUGUGCGUAGGAAAAUUUUGAAAUUACUAUGUUCCCCAACAUCACAAACAUCCCUAGAGUUCGUACUAGAAUAACACCUUAAGACACAAAUCAACCAAAACCCUAAUGUCACCUAGAUACUCCAUUGUAACCUCAAGUAUCCGUGGGCAUGAUUAUACGAUAUGCAUCACACAAUCUCAAUUCAUCUAUUCAACCAACACAUAGAACCUCAAAGAGUGCCCCAAAGUUUCUACCGGAGAAUCACAGCGAAAACGUGUGCCAACCCCUAUGCAUAGGUUCAUGGGAGGAACCCGCAAGUUGGUCACCAAAACAUACAUCAAGUGGCACGUGGUAUCCCAUUGUCACUACAGAUAUCCAUGGCAAGACAUACAUCAAGUGUUCUCAAAUCUUUAAAGACUCAAUCCGAUAAGAUAACUUCAAAGGGGAAACUCAAUUCAUUACAAGAGAGAAGAGGGGGAGGAGAAACAUAGGAUCCAGCUAUAAUAGCAAAGCUCGCGAUACAUCAAGAUCGUGCCAAAUCAAGAACACGAGAGAGAGAGAGAGAUCAAACACAUAGCUACUGGUACAUACCCUCAGCCCCGAGGGAGAACUACUCCCUCCUCGUCAUGGAGAGCGCCGGGAUGAUGAAGAUGUCCACCGGUGAGGGUUCCCCCCUCCGGCAGGGUACCGGAACAGGGUCCCGAUUGACUUUUGGUGGCUACAGAGGCUUGCGGCGGCGGAACUCCCGAUCUAUUGUUCGUUUUAGAAGUUUUAGGGUACAACAAUAUAUAUGAGUGCAGGAAGUACCUCGGAGGAGCCACGGGGGCCCCACGAGGCAGGGGGGCGCGCCCCCACCCUCGUGGGCAGCCUGUGUCUCCCCUGACGUGCACUGCAAGUUCCCUGGGUCGCUUUCCUUCCAAAAAUAACUUCUCUAGUUGAUUUCGUUCCGUUUCGACUUCGUUUGAUAUUCCUUUUCUUCGAAACACUGAAAUAGGCAAAAAACAGCAAAUCUGGGCUGGGCCUCCAGUUAAUAGGUUAGUCCCAAAACUAAUAUAAAAGUGGAAAAUAAAGCCCAAUAUUGCCCAAAACAGUAGAUAAUAUAGCAUGGAGCAACCAAAAAUUAUAGAUACGUUGGAGAAGUAUCACCCUCGUGCAUGUAGUACGGGUCAGCGACACAGAUAUGAGAUAUCUGCUCAACCCUGAUGAUGUAGUUCAUGUGCAAGGCAUAAAGGCAGACAAACAUAAAAUCCAGCUUCUUCACGUGAAACAUGUUGAAUAUGUAAUCGAAUCGGAGGAAGAACUUAUUCGCGGGGAAGCUGUCGACGUACGACAUUUGCCGUGGAACGUUAACCACGUAGAGUGGGUAUCCUGGAUCUUUCGAGGCGAUGAGGCCUUUCUCUACCCGCAGCACAUCAUCAUGAAGUCUCCUUAGAUCGCCGAAUCUGACCCAUAGUGCUGUUGCAGGUAGGAUUGGUUGACCGGGGAUAUGCCAUUUAUCCGCAUCGGGGAUAUCUAUACGGUCCUGAAGCCGAGGCUGCUGGAUCACAGAAUCAGCUUUUUUGCCUUUCCUCGCUCUCUUCCUAGACUUCUUUACUACCAGAAGGUCGUCCAUAAUACGUUGAGACGGCAAUUCAGGCACCGACUCAUGACGCUCAAACCCUAAGGAGGCGCCAGUAUAGACAUACUGUUCAGCGCCAUCGUCGUCCUCAUCUUCAUCCAUGGCGACAUCAUCAGCGACUAAUGGAGGCUCCUCCUUACCCCGUCCGCUAUCACCCAACCCGAUACCCGAUGCUAAUUGGGUAGGUGGGGUGUUGGUGUUCAUACCUUGCUGAGGCUGCGUGCUCGUGGGUGUGCUCCCGGCCGCCUCCAGACGAAGCAGACUCUUUGGCCACAACAGGACCCACCCAUUGCAACAAUCACCAAGCCGCCGCGGUGUCUCGUCAUCAUCCCCCACUAGUAUUGGAGGAGGCAAAUUCUCGUGGCCCGGUUUGACACUGGCCACGGAAACCUUGAAGACGUUUGGGGGGAUCGGCCGGCUGUGGAAUAAUGGUUCCUUCAGCUCCAUUAUCGUCGCCUUCCCCACGUCCACCUUCUGGUCGCCGAUGGUGUACGAUAUGGUGCACGGGGUUUCGUCGGCCCACAAAGAAAAGUCUGCGACGUGAGACAUCCGAAAGGCAACGAAAACGGGAGAUUAUACAUUUAUAUUGAAGGGGGCCGGUGUGACAGAUACCGUGAGGGCGUCGAGCUCAGCCAAAGAUGAAGCACCACCGAGCACGUCCGGUGCGGGAGCCGGUGCAGGAGCAGGUGCGGGUGCAACGCUAGUCGAGCUGCUCCCCAAGAAGUCAGCAAGGGGAAAGUCCUCUGCAUUUUUUUUCUGGAUUUUGCCUUGUCCAAGUGAAAACGCCCGUCACCAAGGAAGUGGACAAAUCUGCAACCACCUAUUUUGCGGCAGCUGCCGCUGUUGCGACUAUCUGAGAUGAUUUCUUCUCAACCGCAAUCUCAACCUUCUUGUCGAUGUUUUCUUUCGUUAACCUCCGUCUUUCCUUUCUCUCCUCCGUGGUCUCACGGUAGUACUUCUUCCACGUGGCGCCAUCUCCGACACCGUGCACGCGUCCAUACGACGGUCGAGUAUCCACCGGUUGUCGUUUCAAUAUGUUCAACGCCCGGUUGAAUGGAGUGUCCCACUUGGGCCUCGCCAAUGCCUCAUACGGCGAGUCGCUUUCGGCCGCAAUCCGGUGCUGCUCUCUCUGCAAAAGGCACAAGGAUCGUUUACAAAUAUGACUAACGUGUGCAGUCGAAUUGAUCAGAAACUAAAAUUACCAGCAGACUCAUGAACUCCGUAAUGAUCGGUUUUGUCUCGUAAACCUUCUUCACUAGGUCCCACCGGUGUCGGGCUCUGAGGACAUCACGCUCCUGCGGGACGGUGAAAUCCGCCAAGGAGUUUGGGAUGCCCAGACUCGCGGCUUCCGCGUGCUCCUUGGCCCAUUUGGACCUCUUUCCGUCGUAACCACGGCUUUCGAGGUGGUGGCUCCCAAUGUUCCUCUCUUGAAGCCCCUUCAUGUACUUAGACUUUUUUUGGCAGCUUCGGCCUCGCAAGCCUCCUUAAAUAUUUGAAACUUCUCUUCCGUGAUUGUCGGAUUAUCCUUUACAAUCUCGGAGUAGGGUUCCUUCUUGUCGAUGAUCUUUGCUUUCACUCGAUUUUUCCAGGCGGCCAACGCGUCACUAAACUUGGUCAAUGCCGUGUUUGUUUAUCUUCUUCAUUGCCGGGUCCUCAUAUGGAUCUUCAUAAUCCUUCUCAUUCUGGCCUGGGAACAAGAAUAUCUGGUGAAACUUCUUUAGGACGGAGCUCCUCAUAUUUUUUAUCUUCUGUAGUUUCUCAUCGUUGAUGGUGGCGGUUGUCUGUACGAUGCAGCCUAUUUGGUUGCCGUAGCAUCAACGCGCUUCCUCGUGCGCCUUUGGCUCAAAAUUGCCAUCAUCCACCUCCGUGACCACCAUUCUAGUAGUCCUGAGUUUGUUAGGAAGUCGUUGCCUCUUUGCUUUCGGUUCUACACAGGCUCCGCUCCCCGAGGCAGCGCCGGUCUCAGUCUCAGCGCCGGUCUUGAUGCCGGUCUGAGUCUCAGCGUCGGUCUCAGUCUCAGCACCGGUCUGUGUGUCGGUCUCAGUCCCCGAUGCCACCGGUGGGCCCAACAAAUCGGUUGAUCAUCGGCAAGGCUAAAAAAUUCGUCUGCCGCCCGAUAGACAUCGUCGCAAUCACCAGAACCCUGUCCUUCAUCGUUGCUAGCCAUGUUUCCUAUGAUUAAAUCUAGUCAAUUAAUUCUAGACCUAAUAAAAUGAAUAAUGACAUAAAAAAGGCCUAUUGUUUUGCAGGAAUGUUGACUCCUUCCUGGUGCGGCAAAUCCCGGGCAGUCGAUAUGUCCUAGUUUGUAGCACAAGUCAUGCCGAAAUUCACGGAAAAUUUCGGCACGACCUUUGCUAAAAAGUGGACAAAUCGAGAACCUAAAAUUUGCCGGAACAGAAAUGAAUCAACAUUCCAGCAAAACAUAGGCCACUCAGCAUCAUUCCCUGGAAACAACAAAGCCACUUGGGCACAAUCGAACAACUUCAAUGAAAAGAUAUAACAUGAGCAAACACUAUUUAGGAAUUUGCAUAUAACAUGGCCACUUCAAUGAAAAGAUAUAAUCAACAAUAAUGGAAUAUGCAAAUGAACAUCAAUGACAUAUAUCAUAUAAAAAACAGUCUUGUUUUUUGUUUACAUAGCAACAAUUAGUUUGACCAAGUUUUUGAAAAGAAAAACAAUUCUGUUUUUUGUUUAUAGCUAAAUGCCAUAGCUACUGUUUUUUAUUUAAAGCUAAAUACUUUUGUUUUUUGUCUAAAGCUAAAAGUCUAGGAACUCCAUUUUCUCUAACCCUUCUGACCUCACCAAAAUUUCCACAACAAGACCUUAGUACCUACACCCAAUUUCUUAAAAAAUAUUUAGGUCCAUAGUCCAAAUAAUUCAAAUUUCAUUUGAAUGAAAUUUGGAACAAAUUCAGGUCCGUAGUCCAAAUAUUUUUUUAUAGAUAAGUGUUUUUUGUUUAUAGCCUCUGUUAAUUGAAAUCUAAAUGCUACUAUUAUUCAUAUACCCUCUAUUAGUUUAAAGCUAAAUGGAAUUACUGUUUAGGCAUUUUCAUAAAAAUUGCCCUAGCUAAUUUCCUAAAAAAAUUGCUAAUCAUUUUUCCUAAAUGCUAUAAAAUGCCUACUGCCCUAAAAAAAUCUAGGGUUCAUAUGAACAUCAACACAGUAUCAACAUAUAUAUGAAUUGCCCUAGCAGAGAGAGAGAGGAGGGUAGGGGACAGGAAAGGCAGAGCCUUACGGUCGGCAGCGAGGGCAGGCUCUGGCUCGGGCGGCGGCGGUGAGGUCGAGGGCGGCGGCGGUGAGCUCGAGGGAGGCGACGGUGAGGUCGACGAUGGCCUCGGGCGGCGGCUGUGAGGUCGAGGGCGGCCUCGGGCGGCGGCGGUGUGGUCGAAGGCGGCGGGCAGUGGCGGUGUGGUCGAAGGCGGCCUCGGGCGGUGGCGGUGUGGUCGAAGGCGGCAGGGCGACGGCGGCGAUGGAGCAGUUGGGGGACAGGGGGCCGGGAGUAGAGAGGGAGGAAAGGACUUGGCGAAAUUUUGAGCCCGGGCUGCCGGGAUUUGAGUCAAACUAGCAGUAGCGCAUUUUGCCGAAACGCGCUAUAGCUAAGAUAGCUACAGCGUGUUCCAGAGAAACGCGCUACAUCUAUUCCUUUCUGUUUUAUUUUUCUUUUUCUUUUAUUUUCUUUACAUUUACUUUUUUUCAUUUCUCCUUUUUCUAUUUCUUUUAUUUUUCUAUUUAUUUUCUUUUUCAUAGCAGUAGCGCUCUACAACAUAAACGCGCUGCUACAAAGUUUUUAGCAGUAGCGUGCUUCUGGGUGAACCGCUACUAUUAUUCCUAGCCUACCGACAUUAGUGACGGAAUUUUAGUAGUAGCGCUUUUCCGUGAAGACGCGCUACUGCUAAAACAAUGGUUGUAGCGUGGUUUUGCAACAAGCGCUACUACUAAGUAGCGCUAGCGCCGAGUUUUGACCAACGCUACUGCUAUACCUCUGUGUAUAAGGUUUUCCCAAGUAGUGUAGGUCCAUUGGGGAGCAAAAUCAGAGCCGAUUGCAAUAUGAGUUCUUUGUUUUUGUUUGGGGUUUCUUCUGCAAGAUGCAUAAUCUAGUUCGUAAUUUUGAGUUUCCUUUGGAUCCUGUUUAUAAAUUGUACUCGCAUGCUUAUCUAAUCGAUAUUAGGUCUUAAAAAAGAGUGAAAUGGUCUAUUGUCCGUGUGUUACUCUAAUUUGUUGUAGGAUAGCGAUGAUGAGCAAUAGAUUUUUAGAAAACAAACCUUACUAGGAUUUUUAGGAGAUCUGUUUUACUAUCUUUUCUGUUAAGAAUAGGCUUAAGAAAGUAUUGUCUGGUCCUUGAUUAGAUUUUGGAUAUUUAGAGCAUCUACAACCGCCAUGAGCAAAUCAGGCCCCUCAAACGCCUGCGGACGCACCCGGAGACAUCCGCCCGCAUUGACCGGGCAUGCCUCAUAUUUGCCACUCUGCAUAUAUGUAUCUCAUAUUCGGCGCCUUAUCUCCAUACUACACAUGCAACGUUGAUCUACUCUACAUGAUCAAACGAUGGACAAUAAAAGUCGGCUGCAAAGGAACAUAAGAUCGCUGCAAACGGACAUUAACAAACUUGGGCACAUCCAAAAGAUCAUAGUUCGUCACCGGACAAGUUCUUAAACCUCUACAACUAAAACGAUAUAAAAAUGAGGACAGAGGGAUGAACAUUUCCUCGCCGGGCCUUUGCCAUUCCGGUCGCCGGCGCAGCUGUAGGCGUUAUUCAUUAGAUCUUACAUGGAGAUCCAUGUAAAAUUUCCUUUUAAGUUUUUUCUUUCUUCUUUAUUAUAUGUUUUGUCACUUGACUGAGACGUCAUUAAGUCUUAGUCGGCUGAGAUCUAGCCACACCCUUUAUUUACCUUAGCACCUGUAUAGGCAUUUUGCAUGAGAGAUAGCCUUAACAUAAUUUGUUUUCCACGACGUGUUCUCUCACAAUUUUUCUGUCAUGUACCCAACUAUGAGUAGGCAAGUAUUAUUUGUGUUUUGCUCUUACACUGCCCUCAAUGUAAUUGAACCAAGAGCCAACAGAAGGUUUCCUUUUUGGUGGGGAAGCACAAGCUUUUAUUUUGAUACACAUGAUUAAUUAUUGGAGAUAGAUACUACUAUACACAAAUGCUUGUAUCCAAUAUUUGGAUUUCCAUAUCCUCUAAGACAUUACACAAAUGCUUGUAUCCAACAUUUGGAUUUCCAUAUCCUUUAAGACUUUGCACAAAUGCUUGUAUCCAAUAUUUGGAUUUUCAUAUCCUCUAAGACAUUACACAAUAUUCCAAAAUUUGGAUUUCCAUAUCCUCUAAGACAUUACACAAAUGCUUGUGUCCAAUAUUUGGAUUUCCAUAUCCUCUAAGGCAUCGAAUGCAAAGCAAAGAGGAAUGCAAUAAAUAGCACUCAAACCACAUUCUUCUCCUCACACCAUCAUUCCAACAACUUAUUUUGAUCACUUGGCCAUGACGUUCAGCGGCGCCCAGAUGCUCGCUGCCUUCACCUUGGGCUUUCUUCUCAUGGCCUUCUGUAAGUUCAUGUAGCAGAUUUUUAUCGCAAUUCCAUGCAAUUUUUGAUCAAUCAAUGAAACAAUUGCUACUAUAAUUUUAUGGUGCACACAUUAAUUCUAACUCACAUGCAGGUGUAGAUGGUCGGGUAUGCACAUCCCCUAGCAAGUUGUACAAAAGGAGCCCUUGCAAGAACAUGGGCUGCACCGCGGCCUGUCACAAAGAGCACUUCGAGGGUGGGUACUGUGCCACUAAGAAGACAAUUGUUGGCAAUGAGCUCAACAAAGACAACGACGAAAACUUCUUUCACAAACGACCUAAGAAAAAGACAUGCGUAUGUACACUUCAAUGCAGUAAAGCCCCACCACCAUCGUCAGAACCUGACGUGCCAGAGCCACCGGGUGAACCUGAGCUGCCAGAUCCUAAGAAGAAGCCGCCGCCGCCAUAUGUACGUGAUGUGCCGGAGCCGCCCUCGGGAGAAAACAAGAAGAAGCUAGUGGCAGCUGCUGACCAGUGAGCAAAUGGUCUAGCCUGCCCGUCCGUGGAAAAUGAUUUCAAUAAGACAGGAAUUAAUCAAUGCUUACUAAAGCCUACGAAACCUUCCAUCCCUAAUUAAUCUCCUCCCCCUGAAUUUCAUUGGUGGGGCAUGCGCCCUUUUCCUUUCCAAUCAAAACCUUCCACGUUAGCUCUCACGUAAAGUAUGUCAAAAGAUUUUCGUACAUGUAGCGUUAUCCUUGAAUGCUCCAUCCCACCCACGCUCGGAUAAAAGAAAAGGAAAAAUAAUGUCCACGAUCACGUAUCUCUCCGCUCACCCGAGAAAAUUUGCCGACGCCGCCCCACUCCUCGUUUGCCUCGUGGUCGUGGGCGCGGCCGCCGGGAUAGGGGACGGGGUGGGAGCGCGGUGCACGACUGGAGGCAGAGUAGGGUGUCUUGUAGUGAAGAUGUUCCCCACAACCACUUGAUCGCCUCGUCGUCGUCGUGGUUGUGGGAGCGCGGCCGCCAGGAUGGGGCGGGGUGGGAGCGCGGUGUGCGAUUGGACGCAGAGUAGGGUGUCUUGCAGUGAUGCAUCCAGCAAGUGUCCCAGGCUGCAACGUCCUUUGACAUGGAUACAAGCGCAUGCAGGGAGAGAGAACUGACUGGGAGGUGUAUGGGGUCAACGCCCCCAUUAGCUUGUUGCCCGCCGCUGCUGGACGAGAUUAUGGUGGGUGCCGAUUUGAAGCGUGGGGGGAGAGCACCGGGGAAGGGCGUCGCAUUGGGGAUCGAUUUGGCCCCGAUCCGGCUUGAUGGAAUACAAGCCAUGCCCAUGCCACCCCAUGGACGCCCCUGACCGAGGUCGGGGCUUGCCGUGGGUGCAUCCGCACCGGCGUGGUGGCCUGCAGUCCCUACAACCAGCAUAAGCUCUGAAACGUGGGAAAGACGCAAGAUCAGAUGUUCCCCACAACCUGAACAUGUGAGCUAUGAUAUUUCUCCCGGCAUGUGUGUUGCUUCCGCUGGAUGAUGCUCUGUUGCCUCCUAGCUGUUGUAGUCUUUCCUUCUCUUGCUGCUCGAUGAAGUUGGUCGUGAUGCUAGCUUUGCAUGCUAUGGAGUUUCUAGUUUUGACUUACAUUGAUCUGAUUAUGUAUACCUUUUUUGGGGCGGGGGUAUAUGUAUGCCAGUAUACAUUAUUAAGUACUGGGGAGAAGAGGGGGAUGUAUUGUACCUCUGUGGAACAUCGUCUUUUAGCUGAAUCUAUAUGUUUAUUCAAUCUGAACUUGGAUGUUUUAUUUGGCUUGCACACCCCGUGUAAAGAAAUAUAAGAUCGGUUUGAUCACCAAACUACCUUGUGAUUUCCUAUGCUGCAAACUGUAAUUAGUUUUCUUUAGCUGCAGGCUUUGUUACUAUAGUUGGCUAAUGGCUAAUGCACUUAAUUGGGACCAUUUCUGGUCUGAUAAUAAAUGCAGGUAUGUCUAAUUUGGAUCUUAACUAGAGCACCAACGUAUGCUUCUAACACCUCUGAAAAAUUAUCGCAACUGAAGUAUUGGACUCAUCUAUAUAUGGACAUCAUUCUAGCUUACUCCUUUGGUACGUACACAUGACAACUGAGAUUGGAACCCCCUUUUGUAAUGAUAAUCACCGUAAUCUGCAAUUGAUUCAGCAUCACAUGGGAAAAUAAGUGGGGAUAUUGUCACUAAAAAAUAUUCCAAUUUUGUGGAGCUUGACUAGCUGGGAUCAAUUCUUCCAUUCCACAGCAUGCUUUGUUACGAAGCAAUAACCCAUAUCUCCACAUGCUGGAGUUUCAGUUUCCUUGGAUGUUGCAAUAUAUAGUUCAAAACUUCAUCUGUGGAUUUGGUUUCGAUCACAAAGAAUUGGUAGACAUUCUUGCUAAUUUACUAGGCCCUUUCCAGCAGCAGAUUCCUUUUAAUGUAGAUAUGCCAUGCUUACAGUUUGACAUGAAUACUUCGUGUUGUGCUUCUUAGCUCUAAUAGUACUUUGUGUUUACUUAUACUAGCGGCUGGGGUCACUACUGGGAAAGCGAUUAUAGGUGAAUCCUAAUGAGUGGCGGGCAUAGUCGGUAACCCGCAACAACUAUUUUUGAAAACAAGCAGUGGCGGGUAGCAAACACUGUCCGCCACAGCUAGAAGCUCACUUUAGGAAAGGGGUUUGAAGAAAAUAUGUUGUCUGUGCGUUGUUUGCGAGAAUGAUGUUAUAUACACAAUUGAAUCGGGAGAGUUGCAUAAGCACUUGUUGGCUGGUGGUUUCAUGCCCGGUUAUACGAUAUGGACAAGUCAUGGUGAGGAUGGGAUGUCAUGUGAAGGAGCGAAACAUGACGAGGAACAAGAAUGGUUGAUGUUUGGACAUGAUGAACAAUCUGACGGUGAUGAAUACAGCGAGUCUGGUGAAGAGUCCGACGAAAGUGAGGAGGCCGAAAUGGAGGAGGCAAUCAUCUAGGGCAAAUUGGCGGGAAUGGUGCACGAUGAACACAUGCAAGAGUUGAACAUGAAAGAGACUAGCACCAAGGCAGCUUCUCGUAGAGAGGCUACCAAACUGGCGACUCUUGUGAAGGACUUAACAGCCGCUUUGUACGGUGGUUGCAAGGCAAAACAGACACGACUAAGUGUCACGAUGAAUCUUAUGGACAUUAAGGCAAAAAACAAUAUCACAGACACUUCCGUCGAUAUGAAUUUGAAGUAUUUGCAUGAUGUUCUUCCUAAAGGCAACGUGUUGCCAAAAAGUAUUGAUGAGGCAAGGAAGGUAUUGUGUCCUCUUGACAUGGAGCCGGUAAAGUACCAUGCAUGCAAAAAUGACUGCGUAAUUUACCGGAACGAGUACUCCAACCUAAUAAGGUGUCCAACAUGCAAGUUUCCAUGAUUCAAGCGGGGAAACAACAAUUGGGAAGACAAUGAUGAUGGUAGAGCACCCGCUAGCGGUACUCCUUAUAAGUUUGUAUGGUACUUCCCAAUCAUUCAACGCCUGAAGCGUUUGUAUGCAAACAAGAAGCAGGCAAAGCUUAUGAUUUGGCAUUCUAAGAGGAAUAAGUAUGACAGAGUGAUUAAACACGUUGCAUAUGGUCGGCAGUGGAAAGCAAUCGAUGACGAGUUCCCUCAUUUCAGUGGAGAUGAUAGGAAGCUGGGCUAUAGUGUGGAUGGUCUGAAUCCCUUUAGUAACCAAAACAGCGCACACAACACCUGGCCCGUGGUUGUCUGCAUCUACAACCUUCCCCCAUGGGUGUGCACGAAGAGAAAGUACACAUGGUCAUGCCAGUUCAACAACCAAGCCAAUUGGGUAGUGAUUUGAACAUGUAUAUGUAACUACUGAAGGAGGAGUUAGAAAUUUUAUGGGCAGAUGAGGGGGUGUGUACAUAUGACGCUAAAACGGGUACGUAUUUCGCUAUGAAAGUUGUGCUGCUCACGAUGAUGGAGGACUAUCCGGUAAACGGUUAUAAUUCGGGUCAAGUUUGCCACAAGAACUGUGCAUGUGUUAGGUGAAUGGAUGAAACUCAUUCUCUAUAUCUGAAGGCCUCUCAUAAAACAGUUUACAUGAAGUAUAAGUGAUUGAAAAGAAACAUUUUGAUAGAUUUAAUUUCCAGUCUUCUAAAUAUAGAGAUUUUUUAUGCACUAUAUACGGAUGGUUUAUUGUACAAUAUACGACACGUACGUACAUGUUAGGGCCAUCUUAAAGGAGCUCUUCUUACCCUCAGCUACUGGACCUCCUCAUUCGGUUAUGAUCUAGUAUGAUGACCCUCAUCAGGUGUACUACUACUUAUAGUUCAUCUGAGUUUCUAUUCGUGUAUGGGUACCUAGAUGGCCUGUCCUAUGUUCCUUAGCUCCACAAUCUCAGCGACUGAUAUAUCUUGAUAUUUACUUAUCAGACGUAACGUUAAUUGCUGACAUCAAUGUCUCCUGCUAACAUAAGUCGAUGUGCAUGUACAUGAAUCAAAACAAGUAACAAACAAGUAAACCCAAUUGUAUAGAGCCAACAUAGCACCACAAAGGACCACCUCAGUAGGCGCAAUCGUGCACCCCAUCCCCUAGUACCUUAUAGCAAAUCUACUAGUCAUCUAUUGGGCAAAUUAUAGGAAAAAGGCUCUCUAGCAGAGUUGCAAUAUCUAGCAAAAUUGACAUAAUUUUGUAGAGCAUCCUCCAUAUUCGGCCUCCCAGCCCCAUAUUUGGAGUCUUGGGCUACCUUUUGGAAGACGCUCCAUAUGGCUAUUCUGUGUGGCGGGAAGAAAACCUCACAUGAUCCAUCACCUCACAUGGGAUCGAUAUUUUAAUUGGAGGAAAAUUGUAUUCCACUGGAAUAUGGGUCCAUUGAUUAUGAAGGCCACAUUAUGGCGACUAUGUGUUUAUACGCACAACCUCGGUGGACUCCAUAAUUUAUAUGGAGCGCACAUCAUAUGAAUACUGGGACUCCCAAUAUGGCGACUCUGCUAGAGUUGCUCGUAGGAGGCAUGUAGCCUUGCCCACAAAUGAUCGCUAGGUUCAAGGAACGCAACUGCUCGGCCAUGUUGCAUUCGGCCCGUAAAAUAAUCUCAAGUAAAACUUCUCGUUCCCCGCAUGACAGGACCCACACAAUAGGACUGCACAUAUCACGCCUCAGUCAUAAAAUGUCUCCUGAUACCCGUUGUUUCUUUUCUCCUAGAGACCAUGGCGAUCAUAGAACACACCACCUGCGAUGUUACCAGGAGUGCUUCCCCAAUACCAACUAGCGACCAUGGAGGACCAUCGUCGUACCCUCGCGACCAUUGGGCCACCGUCGAGAUCCAUUAGUCGCUGGGAUCCAGUCCUACUGUUCUUCACCGCCGGUCGGAGCUUGCCAGAUGCUCCAUCUUUCGAUGUUCACCGCCUCGUUCUCCGCCACCUUCCUCUUCCCUACAGUUUGUAGUCUGCUAAUUGAUGUUUGUGAUGAUCGACUCCAAGAGAAUUUUGGGUUGACCGGACCUCUCCUCCAUUGCUGACAACGGGUUGCAUGGAAGGUUUUGAAUGCGUUGUUGCGCUCGCUCACAAUAGAUCCAACCCUGCCAGGGAUUUCAAGUGGUCUCUCCGGAGUUUGUCUAAACCCAUUGUGGUGGAUGUUAAGGUUUUGGUAAUAGGGUUUAGAGUGGAGUGAGGGUAAAAUUUCUAGGCAUUAUGGUAACUAUGGUACUAGUUUGUGACGACCCAGUAGGAAGGGAUCGCAGUCACAUAACUGGAUAGGUAGGGAAGCAAAUGGUGAAGUUGGGGAAGACAAUGUUGAGGAUUCAUAGAGAAUUUGAGAUAAGAACUACAAUGCGCAUUCCAUCUUUGUCGUCGUUCACCAUUGUCUUCAGCAUGAGUAACACACACCAACUCACAUGGGUUAGGCCACAUUCGACACCAACACUACACAACCCAUAGCCCAAAUCUUACUCCACUAUAUCGUUACUGGAUGCAUGUGUCACAUACUAUAUGUUGAUGGAACGGAAGAGCAAAGAGAAGAUCUAGACCAUCUUCCACGCUAUGCCAUUGGAAGCAAUGUACCAGACUGUCGACUACAGAUAUUCCUCCAAAAAUAUGUAACUUCUUCUCGAGGCUGGCAGAGUGUACUGCCAAAGUUAUUACAUGAUCGCAACAUGUCAUCUACUACAUCAUGUGGAAUUUGCGGUAUAGCGGAUCAUACAUGGUUUCACUGCUCGUUGAUUGUAUAAUGGUUUGAUAUGUUAGGGCUUUGAUAGAUGAAGACUUGACGGAGCAAAUAUGCAUGUCGGCUUCGGAAAAUAACCUAUUGAUGUCGCCAAAGAAAAAUAAGGUGAAGAGAGGCUUGGGACCGGGCCCAACUCAUCCCAAAUGGAUCCUGCGGCCACAAGGAAGUUGCAAGACCAAUGCAAAUAGAGCACUCGCAAAAUUUUCAGCGAAGGUAGCCGUCGUAAUUGCUUGUCGUGUUGAAGAUGACUCCGGUCCAGGAGUAUGGACUAUGGUAGCGAAGGCAUUCAGGGCCCAUUAAUAGUUUAAAUGAAGGCCCUUCGAGAGGCCUUGGACCGACACUUGAUUUAUAGAUCAAAACAGUGAGGAUAACAUUAGACUGUCAGACGAUUGUCAAUGACAUCAACAAUGGAAGCAUGGCAGUCUAUGACAUGAUACUUGUGGAGAUUAAUGGCCGUUGUAAGCAACUCAACGAUAUUUCAUUCCACUAUGAGAAUGAGAGUGGAAAUUCUAAUAGAGGCAGAUUCUACAGCAAAAUAUGCCCUUUCUGUGACGAGUGGCUUGGACUUCUAGCUGCUUAUUAACUAGAGAGCUGCUAUGCACACGAUACCUGUUGCACGAUUGCUGGACGAUAUUGCAAAUCGCACCAUCCAUAUGUAGGAGUAGGUGCGACACAACCACUGGAUUAACUAUCGUGCCUGAAUUGUCCAGUAGGUAUCUCUCGUGAAGUAGUUUCGUAUUAACCAUCUCGCCAGAUUUGUAUACUGUACCCCAAGAAAUUUUAGAUGAAUAUAAAAUCACCAACCUCGUUGAAGACAAAAAAUAAUGGCCGCGUGUGCAAACUCAAUUUUCACCUACUCUCUCCGUCCAACAAUAUAAGACGUUUAUGCAAGCAAGUAAAUGAUUAGAUAUAGUGAGCAGCCAUCUUAAAGUCUGAAUUUGGUCCCUCAACUUUAAAAAGAUGUCCUCCACCUUUAAUUUUCAAUGCCCGAUGAGUUUGGUCCCUCUUCGAAUGUUAAACCGGUUUUUAAUGAUGCUGCUACUAUUAUUUCGUAUUUUAUUUCUUUUUUAUUUCAUGUUGUAUUCGUACACCUUUACACAAGUUUUCAUACAACAGGAAUUUAUAAAUUGUUUUUACAUCAUAAUGAGUUAUUACAUCACGGGGUGAAAGAACCGUGGACUAGUUUCAAGUGGAUGGACAUCGACUUGAAACUAAUCCACGGUUCUUUCACCCAAUGAUAUAAUAAAUAUCAUCAUCAUCAUAUCAUUAACAACUUAUCAUCAUAAUACAUCAUUGUCAUAUAACACCUCCUCAAGAUCAUCGUUUUCAUCAAUGAGACAUCACAUAGCAAAUUGGUCACUAGUCGUAAUCACAAGUACUCCUCAUCAUCAACUCUAACACAUUGUAUCACAUAAUAAACAUAUUGUACCUCAUAGGACCUACUACAUUCUCUUAGGACCUACUAUAUUCUCUAAGGUAAAAUAGCAAAAAAAACAAGAUAGCCCCUGACUCUCCAUUAUGGAGAAUGGAGAUUAUCCUGUCUCCAAUUCUUGCCUUUUGCUUAAUGUUACUUCCAAGAACCUCCUUGUGAAUGUCCAAACAUUUUUUCCAUUCUUUGAUUAGCAUGUGUUCACCGGUUUUAGAAAUCCGAUAUGCACAGGUGAGCUCCUUAGAUUGACCUGGCUGUAUGUUCAGAACUGCAAGGCGACUAUUCUGAUACAUCAGAUGAGGCACACAAUCCAUCGGGAUUUUCUGUUGAAAAACAUAGUAAUAACUUCGUAGUUAGCAAUGAUGUACUAGUUUUAGAAGUAUGCAAAAGAUGCACGGAUGUCGUAAUAGUAAAAAAUCUUACCAGUGUAUCUCCAUAGAAGUUACCGUGGUUCAACACGUGCACUAGUGGCAUGUAUUCACCAUAAUUUGGAGGAGUGCGAUAAUAGGUAUUGUAAUUCUCAAGAUAAGUACAAUAAGCAUUCAGAUGACUUUUCUCCUUAUAAGUUAAUUCGGAGCCAUCAGUGUAGUGGGUUUUGUCUACCAUCUUCUGCACAUUCUUUGAAGAUUCAAAAUAAGCUGUCAAUGGAAAUAAGCUGUCAACUAUUUUGAAAUAAACAAUAUAAAGUAGUUAAUAACUAUGUUUGAGAAACUCACAUUGCGGUAGAAUCGGAAGCGUAUCAACAAGGACCCAAAUGUCCAUAUUGUCUUGCUCGAUGUCAGGAUCACCAAGAUCCAUGGUGACAAUCAUACUCUCAUAAAAACCAUACAUUUUGCAAAGUGUUUCCCAAUUUUGGCAACCAAAAUGGGUUACGCUCUGAGAAUUGUACAUAUUUACUUCAAAAUUGAUAUCAUGAUGGGUCCUUAGGUGUAUUUUCUUUGUUUGAAAAUUUUCAUGGUCUUCCAAACCCAUCCUCUCCAAGACAUAGCGUCUUGCAUGGCAUGGGAUAAGCUAGUCGAAUUGUAAACAAUGAAAAUUAGACGUUGAAAUAGUUGAAGUCAUGCUUAAUUAUGAAAAAACACUUGUCGUUGUUGCGUACCAUUUCAACAUCGAAGGUCUCCUCGAGCUUAAUGCUGAAGCGCCAAUCUUCGUCCAGCUCAACGAACCUGUCGCACAUACCUCGAUCGUCGUGGCACCAGCUACACUCCCCCGGGAGACUAUCAUCGUCCGAGUACGACAUUUCCUACAUUCAUAAUUCAAAGAUUAAACUUGUACAAUUAAAUAUAUAUACUAAAAAACCUAAAUUAGAUCAUUAUUUUUUGAGAAAAUCCAGGCCACUCGAUAUUUACUACAAAUUCUAGCACAAGUCAUGCCAGAAUUCACGGGAAAAUCCGGCAGGACCUUUGCUAAAAAAGGACAUAUCGAGCACCUGAAAUUUGCCAGAACAGAAAUUAAUCAACACUCCAGCAAAACAUAGGCCACUCGGAGGUGUAAACUGAACAUGAACGGCCACUUGGGCAACCACAUAUCCUAUUUGAGCAACACAAGAUAUACAUGGAUAUUUGGCUGGUCCCACCUCGAUGUCGGAGGGGGUCGGUGACGGGGACGACGGCGGGGAUGAUGGAGGGGCUCCUUGAUUUCUACAAAAGCAAAAACCGUAUAAGUUAUCACUAAUACAUCCUAAAUAAUUGCUUAAACUAAAAAAUAACAACAAAUAUGACAUGUUCAACUAGUUUUAUUAAUUGAACUAGUUCUUACUAAAUAUAAACUUACUAUAAAUAGAAAAAAACUAGUUCUUUCUAAAAAUAAAGUAGUUCAACUAGUUAUAUUAAUUAUCUUACUAAAAAUACAUUAGGUCUAUUAACUCAACUAGUUCAACUAGUUUAUUAAUUUACUUACUAAACUAGUUCAACUACAACUAAAGUAGUUCAACUAGUUUAUUAAUUUACUUACUAAUUAUUUUAAACACUUACUAAAAAUAGUGAAAAUAAACUACAUUAUACAAUAGUUAACUAGUACAAUCACUACUACUAAUUAACAUCUACUACUGCUAAAAAUCAUUAUCUAUGAACCCUAAAUUAACAUCUACUACUACUAAAAACAUCUAGUACNNNNNNNNNNNNNNNNNNNNNNNNNNNNNNNNNNNNNNNNNNNNNNNNNNNNNNNNNNNNNNNNNNNNNNNNNNNNNNNNNNNNNNNNNNNNNNNNNNNNNNNNNNNNNNNNNNNNNNNNNNNNNNNNNNNNNNNNNNNNNNNNNNNNNNNNNNNNNNNNNNNNNNNNNNNNNNNNNNNNNNNNNNNNNNNNNNNNNNNNNNNNNNNNNNNNNNNNNNNNNNNNNNNNNNNNNNNNNNNNNNNNNNNNNNNNNNNNNNNNNNNNNNNNNNNNNNNNNNNNNNNNNNNNNNNNNNNNNNNNNNNNNNNNNNNNNNNNNNNNNNNNNNNNNNNNNNNNNNNNNNNNNNNNNNNNNNNNNNNNNNNNNNNNNNNNNNNNNNNNNNNNNNNNNNNNNNNNNNNNNNNNNNNNNNNNNNNNNNNNNNNNNNNNNNNNNNNNNNNNNNNNNNNNNNNNNNNNNNNNNNNNNNNNNNNNNNNNNNNNNNNNNNNNNNNNNNNNNNNNNNNNNNNNNNNNNNNNNNNNNNNNNNNNNNNNNNNNNNNNNNNNNNNNNNNNNNNNNNNNNNNNNNNNNNNNNNNNNNNNCGACGGUGAGGUCGAGAGCGGCGAUGAGGUAGAGAGCGGAGGGGGUGGGGGAGGCGGCGGCGACGGUGAGGUCGAGAGCGGCGGCGGGCGGCGGCGUUGAUGGUGACGGCGGCCUCGGGCGGCGGCGGUGAGGGCAGGCUCGGGCUCGGGCGGCGGCGACAGAGGAGUAGGGGAACAGUGGGGGGAGUAGGAGUUAGCGAAAUUUUGAGCGGGCGGGUGGUUAAGUCGAACUAGCAGUAGCGCACUUUAGGAAACGCGCUAUAGCUAAAGUAGCUAUAGCGCGUUUUCAGGAAAAACGCUACUGCUAAGUCUAAGCACGCAUAAAAAAUAUACGUUGGUCAUCAUUGAUCUUUUUGUGUAGAAUCUAAAUAGUCAACAUAUUUAAGGUGGUAAACACCUUGUUCGCUUAGCAGUAUGGGACUAAACUUAAUUAGGUGCAACACUUAGCAGCAGCGAGUUUUGCAGAAACACGCUGCUACUAAGUACUUUAGCAGCAGCGCGUCCAGGGAAGGGCGCAACUACUAUAUCUAGCCUGGGGGCAAAUCCGUGGCAAUUAUAGUAGUAGCGCUUGUUUCACCUAGAGCACUACUGCUAUCUAGUUAUUAGUAGCGCGGUUCCUUUAAGCUCGCUACUGCUAGUUAGCAGUAGCGCCUGUUUUUAAAUUGCGCUGCUGCUAAGAUUCUGUGUAUAACAUUUUCCGUAGUAGUGAUGGGAGACGCUCGGCUGGUGUGCGUCAUUGUCUCCAUUGUGCUCAACGCUAUGCUAUCUGAAAGUUUUUCCCCACAUUUUAGUUAGAAUGUUUUAUUGUGCUGCGAAGUUUGAAGUUGGAAGAAACCAAAAAAAAGUUCUUGCACAAAUCGCGAUGAAUGGCUAGAUAAGGAGAUGCACCUAAGCCUAUUCUCCACAAGAUAUGUUCCGUACGCUGCCCCCGGGGGCCUCCUCUGACGUAUCCAAGGCACUGUUUUGGUAACCAAACGAAAUUUCGCGAUCUCACCCGGUUACCGCGUUUAUCGCCCCCUCCCCUCGAGAAACACUCAUACCGGACAAAAAAUCUCAAUUUUUUUUGAAUAUUUUGGAUUCAAACGCUCAGAGUGUAGUUAAAUAUAGGCCAUCUCUUUUAUACUAACAUAAGCGGUCGUGGCCUGGUGGCAACUGUUGCCUUUCUUCAACAGCUUGUCACGGGUUCGAAUUUUGACCCACGCUUUUUAAUUUCUUUUUGAUAUGCAAAAGUUAAAAAAAACUUAAAAUUAUUGAAGUGGCAAGGGGUCGAGCGUGAUAAUUUUUGAAGUUAAGUCCCUAUCUAUAUCGACUUCAAAAAAUUUGAAUUCAAAAUUUAAUUUCAAAUUUCGUUCGAAUUUUUUUCGGUAUUUUGCGGUUACCAUGGUAACCGCGAAUUCCAGUGCCCCUCGAGAAAAAAUGUGCACUUGGGAUCCAAAACCUUGAUCCAAGGCGACCCCAACUUCGCCCACGCUUCCCAAUCCGCGCUCGCACGACACCUCACGUUGCAUUGCUCUGCACCGACCACCGCCUUCCACGCUCGCUUCUCUGACGCCACCGCACCAACGCACAUGCCCGACGGGCUGCUCCCAUCCAUGGCCUUCUCCAGCUCCCGGUGCGUGCUGGUGCAGAGCUAGUGGGGGAGCACGUGAACGACAUCGCCCACCACUAUGGAUCAAGAACUAUGGACGACGGCAGCCAGCGAGGCCAAGUGGCGGCAUGGCUACAAUUCUGAUGAGAUGGAGCACGCACUCAUUAGCCUCCACAGCCACCGAGUAAUUGGCCUUGCCGCGGAAGUGUGGCACUACUACUUGGCCUCAGCGCAGCAGCGACGCUCAGGGAGUAGUACUGCCGUUCACAACGACUUAACAAGAGGAUCUUGUACAACCCGAAAGACACGAAGCAACGAUGGAUCCACAGGAACAACACGGUGCCUUCAGAAGUGAAAGGAUCAAGGAGGGAGGUCGUUGUUCUCCCGGCUCCCCUCAUCUCCUUCUCUGGAGGCCGGAGUAGCGGUGGAUGGGGAGCCAGGGCCUCUCCUGAAUUUAGUAGUUUUGGUACAGGAUGCUUGCCUGGGGUUACCGUGAUGGCGCCUGGGAAGAUGUCGUUACAGUGCUUCCCACCGCUGCCUUUUUUUUACAAAAACGAUUCAGAACUUAUUAUCAAAGUUCAUCAAAAGUAAAAAAAUCUAAAACAUAAGAGAAAUUACAUCGAGAUUUGAAGGCUACCGAACAACCAUUACUACCACUAGAAGGAGCCACCGACCCUGCUAUUGCCGCUCCUCUACCGGAGCCGGCUUGAACGUGCAAUGACAGCCAAGAAGUCUUCGUGCACGUGCCACUAAUGACCAGUGCCCUAGAGCCGCAGUCAUCGCCGUUCAAUCCUUGCAUAGAUCUGAAGCACCUGACACCAAAUAUUUCCACAUGAUGAGAAACCCUAACCUCACUGCCCCAAGGAGAUGGCAGGAAUCUACGCUGGGGAUCCAUCAACUACAUACAGACGGACGAACUUGAGAAGGAUCGAAGCACGAAAUACCAACUCAAAGAAGUAGCACCAGCAUCUGCCCAAGUGUUGCACCCGCAAGGACUAAAAACCGUAACCUAAACUACCAACCGGUGUGGAGACACCCAGAUUCUCCUCCCCGCCACUGUCCACCGGAGCGGUAGGCAAAAGGGAGGCGAAUCCAUGGGCUCGAGGUGAAGUCUAGGUUUUUUUUGUCCUAAUGGCCUAUGAUUAGGGGAGGAAAAUGAGAGGCUGCCCACCGUUGCUUGCAUAGUGCACGGUGGUCGUCGAUAUCAUCUUCCGCUCUGGUUCCAUGGUGACGUGAAAGGGAGGCAACGGUUCUUUCGCUAGCUCCCUUAAUAAGCACGCACUCGCAUAGGAUCAAGUUUGUCUCAUGUCCUCUCCUCCUUAUUUUUGCCAUCAUGGCGACGCCAGAGGUGGAAGAGCACUACAGGACUUGGGCUUCUGAUAUAGUGAGGUAUUUUGUAAAGAUCUGUUAGAGGGCCUCCAGCAUGCCUCCUGUUGCUACAUUCAUCGUGAUGGUGGAGGCAUGGACGCGGUCAUUUUGAUGUGGUUCAAGAGCUCAUGGUGGUGGAUUUGGAGGAAUUUUGGUGCCUCGGGGUGGGCGUUCGGGUUUACCCAAAAUUCCGGGUCUGGUAAUUCGGAUUUUUAGAAAUUUGGGUUUCUAAAAUAAACACCCAAAAUAUUCCUGAAAAAGAGAAAUCCAAAAAUUCUGGUUUAGGUUCGGGUAUUCCUGAAUUACCCGAAUUAGCACAACAAACAAAAUGACAGCAGCAACUCGCGGCAUACUGAUGGCUGAUGCAGCGCUCCCCUUUGCUUCCCUCACUCAAAGGUUGUGGGAUGUAGCCUCACCUUGUUUGCUUCUCAUGGCGGCAGGAUACUGGGACUAGGAGGUCAUCGACCUUAUUGCAGAUUUGCAGGCGAAGGUGGUGAGCCUCGUGCGCGUCACAGAUAGUGGCAGCGAGGUGCAGACGAUGGUGACGAUGUUGGCGAAGUGGAUGGAGUUAAUGAGGUGGCCAACCUCCCGGCCGCAUUGCAUGCUCGUGGUUGCUAGGUCGGGACACAGGAUGUGGCCGACUGCAUUGCAUUGUAGCCGCUGGUUCGAGAGAGACGGAGAGGAAGGAACGAGGCGCCUAUGUGUGUGUGUGUGUGUGUGUGUGUGAGAGAGAGAGAGAGAGAGAGAGAGAGAGAGAAAUGGACUGCUCGACUAGUGGCACAACAUGGGAAGUGGAUGGGGGUCGCGACUAUGCUCGGUCGACCUAGGGAAAUCGAGGCCUUAUUCUUAUUCCCAUAUUGGGCUAGGUUGAUGCCAGAAGGUGGAAUUUUGAUUGGGCGGUACCAUGAGUUGGGACCCAAAUUUCCCAAAAAAUUGGGUUUCUCAAAAUGUUACCUGGUUUAGUUUUCCAGUUUUCCGGGUUAGGGCUAAAUGGGUUCUCGUUUGGGCGUUGGGUAUCGGGUUUUAUGCUCAUCGUGUGUGGUGCCCUUGUUGGUCAUGGCCUAGUUUCCUCCGAGGGGACACGUAUCUUGUGGUCAAAAGGGGACCAAUUUCAUUUCUUCUGACCAUGAUGCCAGAGAUGAGACAAGUUGCUUAAAGGUGGAUUAUUCAAUGCCAUGUUGUCAUGGAGGUCUCGCCGUCUCAAGUGGUGUCAUUCGUGGACCAACGAGACUAGCACUACUAGGGAAAAGCCUAGCAGCAGCGCGGGUUUUGGGCCUCUCAGUAGCGCGGGGACCGGCGCUACUAAUAAGGCGCUACAGCUAACAGGUAGCGCCUGUUGUCCCAUGCUACUGCUAUACAUGAAUAGCUGUAGCACUCUUUAGAAAAGGGCGCUGCUGAUAUUAUCUGCAGCGCUGUUUACUGGGAAGCGCUACUGGUAAGGCGGUGCUACUACUAAAUUUUUCCUCCUCGCUACUACUAGUUUUAUUAGUUUUUUCCCUGCAUAUUUGUUUUGUAUUUGAAUAGGCUUUAUACAAUAAUCUUUAGCAUAUCAUACACCUACAAAUGUAAUCAUAGCAUAUACAUACAAUUAGUCUCAUCAAAUCAUGUCAUCAUCAUAAUCAUCAUCCAACACAAAGUGGUCUCUCGUCAUCACCUCAAAAAUAGUGAUACAAGUCUUGAUUACUUGCAAAUACAUCAUCAUCCAUCUAAACAAUGAUAUACGCGAGAAGAGCUAUCACUUUGAGUACAUGAGUUCGUAUCCCUCUCUCGCAUUAGCAUGAACCUAAACUAACUACUGCCUGUCACUCGGAAACCAGAAACCGGUACACAUGGGCCUGACACUCCGGCCACUUGUCGUAUAUACACUCCUGGCGUAGCACUUCUUCGCCAUCUAUGAUCUAUGCACCUGCAUCGUCACAUGAGUCGAUGAUAUGCAACAUAUAUAGUUGAGCAACAGAAAGAGACAGACUUGGCAAAAAUAGAAACAACAUAUCAUAAGCAUAAAUAACAAAGUUCAUCGUACCCCAAAAUGCCCUAACUAGAGUGAUUUUCGCUAGUCGAGGAGGAGGAGGACGGUUUAAUUACAUCACAAAUAAAGUUUCACCGUGCAUAACUCAAAGUUUUUUCAUACAGAAAGUAUGGACUUAACGGACACAUUGUCAUAUAUCGACAAUCACUCCAACAUGUCGUUCCAUCCAUCCAAGUCAGGGAGAUAGUCCUCGAGCUUAGUGAAAGGCUUCAUGUCGAGACGCUGAGAGGCUAUCCAUGUUCGGACGUCUUCCCGUGACAUUUGUCCUUCUCCGUAGAACAUCCCUGUUUUUCCGACGACCUCCUUCAUGAUGAUUUGGGCAAGUUCGCGCUGGAUGUUAUAGAACUCAGCUCGAAGACGAUGAUCCUCGAUAUCUCCUAUGUCCUUUUCCCAUUGCAGAAUAUGGGCAUCGAAGGAUCUAGGUGACAUGCGAAGGUUCUGGUGAUCCCGUCUGUACUCCAGCAUGUGGUGUAGGACAUAGAAUCCAUCAUUAAGAGAAUCGUUCGGUUGCUGGAUGCAGCAGAAGUCGGUCUUAUGGCCGAAGGCGACCCUGCCGCCCCUUCUCUUCUUGUCCCUGACCUCUCCACCCCUUGCUUGGUAGUAAAACAUAGCACUGUCGAACAUCCUUGAUGUGGGUGUAAUCCUUUUUGUGAAUGUUCUUCGACGAGUCCAAGUAAAGAGCGUGGGAGAAUCGGGGGUAGAUGAUGAUGAGGACGGCGCACCCGCUGCAGCGCAAAAUAAGUACACCUCAAAUUAAUUAGCCUACACCGUCCAAAUGAAUGAUUGAAAUCGAAGGAAGGAUAGCAGCGCGUAUUCACGGUGCUUUGCGCAGACUCCCAAGAAGCCCUCUGAUGUCUACUACACAACCUUCUUCUUGUAGACGUUGUUGGGCCUCCAAGUGCAGAGGUUUGUAUGACAGUAGCAAAUUUCCCUCAAGUGGAUGACCUAAGGUUUAUCAAUCCGUAAGAGGCGUAGGAUGAAGAUGGUCUCUCUCAAGCAAACCUGCUCUUGUGUCCCCAACACACCCAAUACAAUGGUAAAUUGUAUAGGUGCACUAGUUCGGCGAAGAGAUGGUGAUACAAGUGGUAUAUGGAUAGUAGAUAAUAGUUUUUUUAAUCUGAAAAUAUAAAAACAGCAAGGUAACGAAUGAUAAAAGUGAGCGUAAAUGGUAUUGCAAUGUGUGGAAACAAGGCCUAGGGUUCAUACUUUCGCUAGUGUAAGUUCCCUCAACAAUACUAACAUAAUUGGAUCACAUAACUAUCCCUCAACAUGCAACAAAGAGUCACUCCAAAGUCACUAAUAGCGGAGAAUGAACAAAGAGAUUAUGGUAGGGUACGAAACCACCUCAAAGUUAUUCUUUCCAAUCAAUCCGUUGGGCUAUUCCUAUAAGUGUCACAAACAGCCCUAGAGUUCGUACUAGAAUAACACCUUAAGAAACAAAUCAACCAAAACCCUAAUAUCACCUAGUUACUCCAUUGUCACCUCAAAUAUCCGUGGGCAUGAUUAUACGAUAUGCAUCACACAAUCUCAAUUCAUCUAUUCAACCAACACAUAGAACCUCAAAGAGUGCCCCAAAGUUUUUACCGGAGAAUCACGACGAAAACGUGUGCCAACCCCUAUGCAUAGGUUCAUGGGCGGAACCCGCAAGUUGGUCACCAAAACAUACAUCAAGUGGCAUGUGGUAUCCCAUUGUCACCACAAAUAUCCACGGCAAGACAUACAUCAAGUGUUCUCAAAUCUUUAAAGACUCAAUCCGAUAAGAUAACUUUAAAGGGGAAACUCAAUUCAUUACAAGGGAGAAGAGGGGGAGGAGAAACAUAGGAUCCAACUAUAAUAGCAAAGCUCGUGAUACAUCAAGAUCGUCCCAAAUCAAGAACACGAGAGAGAGAGAGAGAGAGAGAGAGAGAGAGAGAGAUCAAACACAUAGCUACUGGUACAUACCCUCAGCCCCGAGGGAGAACUACUCCCUCCUCGUCAUGGAGAGCGCCGGGAUGAUGAAGAUGGCCACCGGCGAGGGUUCCCCCCUCCGGCAGGGUGCCGAAACAGGGUCCCGAUUGACUUUUGGUGGCUACAGAGGCUUGCGGCAGCGGAACUCCUGAUCUAUUGUUCGUUCUAGAAGUUUUAGGGUACGACGAUAUAUAUGGGUGCAUGAAGUACGUCAGAGGAGCCACGGGGGAGGCAGGGGGGCGCGCCCUAGGGGGGUGGGCGCACCCCCCACCCUCGUGGGCAGCCCGUGUCUCCCCUGACGUGCACUCCAAGUUCCCUGGGUUGCUUUCCUUCCAAAAAUAACUUCUCCAGUUGAUUUUGUUCCGUUUCGACUUCGUUUGAUAUUCCUUUUCUUCGAAACACUGAAAUAGGCAAAAAACAACAAAUCUGGGUUGGGCCUCCAGUUAAUAGGUUAGUCCCAAAAGUAAUAUAAAAGUGGAAAAUAAAGCCCAAUAUUGCCCAAAACAGUAGAUAAUAUAGCAUGGAGCAAUCAAAAAUUAUAGAUACGUUGGAGACGUAUCAGGCAUCCCCAAGCUUAAUUCCUGCUCGUCCUCGAGUAGGUAAAUGAUAAAAAGAUAAUUUUUGAUGUGGAAGGCUAGUUGGCAUAAUUUCAAUGUAAUUCCUCUUAAUUGUGGUAUGAAUAUUCAGAUCCAUAAGAUUCAAGACAAAAGUUCAUAUUGACAUAAAAAUAAUAAUACUUCAAGCAUACUAACUAAGCAAUCAUGUCUUCUCAAAAUAACAUGGCCAAAGAAAGUUAUCCCUACAAAAUCAUAUAGUCUGGCUAUGCUCCAUCUUCACCACACAAAAUAUUUAAAUCAUGCACAACCCCUAUGACAAGCCAAGCAAUUGUUUCAUACUUUUGAUGUUCUCAAACUUUUUCAAUCUUCACGCAAUACAUGAGCGUGAGCCAUGGACAUAGCACUAUAGGUGGAAUAGAAUGGUGGUUGUGGAGAAGACAAAAAGGGAGAAGAUAGUCUGACAUCGACUAGGCGUAUCAACGGGCUAUGGAGAUGACCAUCAAUAGAUAUCAAUGUGAGUGAGUAGGGAUUGCCAUGCAACGGAUGCACUAGAGCUAUAAGUAUAUGAAAGCUCAACACAAGAAACCAGUGGGUGUGCAUCCAACUCGCUUGCUCAUGAAGACCUAGGGCAUUUUGAGGAAGCCCAUCAUUGGAAUAUACAAGCCAAGUUCUAUAAUGAAAGAUUCCCACUAGUAUAUGAAAGUGACAACAUAGGAGACUCUCUCUCAUGAAGAUCAUGGUGCUACUUUGAAGCACAAGUGUGGUAAAAGGAUAGUAGCAUUGUCCCUUUUAUUUUUUAUUUUUUAUUUGGCCUUCCUUUUUUUAUUUGGCCUUUCUUUUUUUAUUUGGCCUUUCUAUUUUCUUUUUUUGGGACAAUGCUCUAUUGAAUGAUGAUCAUCACACUUCUAUUUAUUUACAACUCAAUGAUACAACUCGAUAAUAGAGCAAAGUAUGACUCUAUAUGAAUGCCUCCGGCGGUGUACCGGGAUGUGCAAUGAUGCAUGAGUGACAUGUAUGAAAGACUUAUGAAGGGUGGCUUUGCCACAAAUACGAUGUCAACUACAUGAUCAUGCUAAGAAAUAUGACAAUGAUGAAUGUGUCAUGAUGAAUGGAAUGGUGGAAAGUUGCGUGACAAUAUAUCUCGGAAUGGCUAUGGAAAUGCCAUAAUAGGUAGGUAUGGUGGCUGUUUUGAGGAAGGUAUAUGGUACCGGUGAAAGUUGCGCGGUACUAGAGAGGCUAGCAAUGGUGGAAGGGUGAGAGUGCGUAUAAUCCAUGGACUCAACAUUAGUCAUAAAGAACUCACAUACUUAUUGCAAAAAUCUACAAGUUAUCAAAGCAAAGUAUUACGCGCAUGCUCCUAGGGGGAUAUAUUGGUAGGAAAAGACCAUCGCUCGUCCCCGACCGCCACUCAUAAGGAAGACAAUCAAUAAAUAAAUCAUGCUCCGACUUCAUCACAUAACGGUUCACCAUACGUGCAUGCUACGGGAAUCACAAGCUUCAACACAAGUACUUCUCAAAUUCACAACUACUCAACUAGCAUGACUCUAAUAUCACCAUCCUCAUAUCUCAAAACAAUUAUCAAGCAUCAAACUUCUCAUAGUAUUCAACACACUCAUAAGAAAGUUUUGUUAUUCUUGAAUACCUAGCAUAUUAGGAUUUUAGGAAAAUUAUCAUGCUAUUUAAGACUCUCAGAAUGAUAUAAGUGAAGAAUGAGAGUUCAUCUAUUCCUUCAAAAUAAAACUACCACCAUGCUCUAAAAGAUAUAAGUGAAGCACUAGAGCAAAUGACAAACUACUCCGAAAGAUAUAAGUGAAGAUCAAUGAGUUGUCGAAUAAUUAUGCAACUAUGUGAAGACUCUCUAACAUUUAAUAAUUUCAGAUCUUGGUAUUCUAUUCAAACAGCAAGCAAAGCAAAAUAAAAUGACAUCUAAGAAUAGCAAACAUGUAAAGAAGCAAAAACUUAGGAUCAACCGAUACUAACCGAUAGUUGUUGAAGAAGAAAGGUGGGAUACCAACCGGGGCAUCCCCAAGCUUAGACGCUUGAGACUUCUUGAAAUAUUAUCUUGGGGUGCCUUGGGCAUCCCCAAGCUUGAGCUUUUGUGUCUCCUUAAUUCCUCUCAUAUCACGGUCUCCCUAAAUCUCAAAAGCUUCAUCCACACAAAACUCAACAAGGACUCAUGAGAUAAGUUAGUAUAAACCAUUGCCAAAAAAUUAUCAUAUUCUACUGUAGCAAAUCACUAAAAUUAUUAUUCAACAUUGCAAACUAAAUUCCUCUGCAUAUUUAAUAGUCCUAUCCUCAAAUAGAAUCAUUAAAGAAGCAACCAUAUGCAAACAAUGCAAACAUAACAACAAUCUGCCUAAACAGGAUAGUCUAUAAAGAAUGCUGCAACAUCCAUACUUCCCUAGCUCCAAAAAUUAUGAAAUAAAAUUCCCACUGUAGUAAAUUUAUCAGAUCUUAGUAUGCAAAAGGUUUCAACAUUUUAUCACAUUCUGACUUUUCUAGGGAAUUAUUGCAACAGUGGUAAACUUUCUGUUUUCAAACAGCAACAUGUAUACUUGUAACAUAGGCAUAGUAAAGGCUAUCAAUGCCACUUUUAUUGAAAUAAAAGAUGCAAAACAUUUUUCUAAAUAACAACAAGAAAAUCCUAACAAAAUAAAUUGACGCUCCAAGCAAAACACAUAUCAUGUGGCGAAUAAAAAUAUAGCUCCAAGUAAAGUUACCGAUGAACGAAGACGAAGUAGGGGAUGCCUUCCGAGGCAUCCCCAAGCUUAGGCUCUUGGAUAUCCUUGAAUAUUAUCUUGGGGUGCCUUGGGCAUCCCCAAUCUUAGGCUCUUUCCACUCCUUGUUCCAUAGUCCAUCAAAUCCUUACCCAAAACUUGAAAACUUCACAACACAAAACUUAAAGUAGAAAACUCGUAAGCUCCGUUAGUGUAAGAAAAUAAAUCACCACUUCAAUGUACUAUAAUGAAUUCAUUAUUUAUUUAUAUUGGUGUUAAACCUACUGUAUUCCAACUUCUCUAUGGUUUAUAAACUAUUUUACUAGCCAUAGAUUCAUCAAAAUAAGCAAACAACACAUCGAAAACAGAAUCUGUCAAAAACAGAAUAGUCUGUAGUAAUCUGGAUCAAACGUAUACUUCUGGAACUCAUAAAAUUCUCAAAUAAAUUGCUGGACCUGAGGAAUUUAUCUAUUAAUCAUAUGCAAAAAUAAUUAACUAAAUAUCACUUCCCAAAUAAAAAUGGCAGCAAUUCUCGUGAGCGCUAAAGUUUCUGUUUUUUACAGCAAGAUCAACAAGACUUCCCCAAGUCUUCCCAACGGUUCUACUUGGCCCAAACACUAAUUAAAUGCAUAAAACCACAUCUAAAAAGAGGCUAGAUGAAUUAUUUAUUACUAAACAGGAACAAAAAUCAAGGAAUAAAAAUAAAGUUGGGUUGCCUCCCAACAAGCGCUAUCGUUUAACGCCCCUAGCUAGGCAUGAUAAUGACAAUGAUGCUCACAUAAAAGAUAAGAAUUGAAAUAUAGAGAAAGCAUCAUGAAGAAUAUGACUAGCACAUUUAAGCCUGACCCACUUCCUAUGCAUAGGGAUUUUGUGAUCAAACAACUUAUGGGAACAAUAAUCAACUAGCAUAGGAAGGCAAAACAAGCAUAACUUCAGGAUUUUAAGCACAUAGAGAGGAAACUUGAUAUUAUUGCAAUUCCUACAAGCAUAUGUUCCUCCCUCAUAAUAAUUUUCAGUAGCAUCAUGAAUGAAUUCAACAAUAUAACCAGCACCUAAAGCAUUCUUUUCAUGAUCUACAAGCAUGCAAAAUUUACUACUCUCCACAUAAGCAAAAUUCUUCUCAUUAAUAGUAGUGGGAGCAAACUCAACAAAGUAACUAUCAUGGGAUUGAAAAUUGAAAUCAAGAUGACAAGUUUCAUUGUUAUCAUUAUUCUUUAAAGCAUACGUGUCAUCACAAUAAUCAUCAUAGAUAGGAGGCAUGCUUUCAUCAUAGUAAAUUUGCUCAUCAAACCUUGGGGGACUAAAAAUAUCAUCUUCAUCAUACAUAGCUUCCCCAAGCUUGUGGCUUUGCAUAUCAUUAGCAUCAUAGAUAUUCAAGGAAUUCAUACUAACAACAUUGCAAUCAUGCUCAUCAUUCAAAUAUUUAGUGCCAAACAUUUUAUAGAUUUCUUCUUCUAGCACUUGAGCACAGUUAUCCUUUCCAUCAUACUCACGAAAGAUAUUAAAAAGGUGAAGCGUAUGAGACAAACUCAAUUCCAUUUUUUGUAAUUUUGUUUUAUAAACUAAACUAGUGAUAAAAAAAUAAACUAAAAGACUCGAUUGCCAGAUCUAAAGAUAUACCUUCAAGCGCUAACCUCCCCGGCAACGGCGCCAGAAAAGAGCUUGAUGUCUACUACACAACCUUCUUCUUGUAGACGUUGUUGGGCCUCCAAGUGCAGAGGUUUGUAGGACAGUAGCAAAUUCCUCUCAAGUGGAUGACCUAAGGUUUAUCAAUCCAUAAGAGGCGUAGGAUGAAGAUGGUCUCUCUCAAGCAACCCUGCAACCAAAUAACAAAGAGUCUCUUGUGUCCCCAACACACCCAAUACAAUGGUAAAUUGUAUAGGUGCACUAGUUCGGCGAAGAGAUGGUGAUACAAGUGGUAUAUGGAUAGUAGAUAAUAGUUUUUGUAAUAUUGAAAAUAUUAAAACAGCAAGGUAACGAAUGAUAAAGGUGAGCGUAAACGGUAUUGCAAUGUGUGGAAACAAGGCCUAGGGUUCAUACUUUCGCUAGUGUAAGUUCCCUCAACAAUACUAACAUAAUUGGAUCACAUAACUAUCCCUCAACAUGCAACAAAGAGUCACUCCAAAGUCACUAAUAGCGGAGAACGAACGAAGAGAUUAUGGUAGGGUACAAAACCACCUCAAAGUUAUUCUUUCCAAUCAAUCCGUUGGGCUAUUCCUAUAAGUGUCACAAACAUCCCUAGAGUUCGUACUAGAAUAACACAUUAAGACACAAAUCAACCAAAACCCUAAUGUCACCUAGAUACUCCAUUGUCACCUCAUGUAUCCGUGGGCAUGAUUAUACGAUAUGCAUCACACAAUCUCAAUUCAUCUAUUCAACCAACACAUAGAACCUCAAAGAGUGCCCCAAAGUUUCUACCGGAGAAUCACGACGAAAACGUGUGCCAACCCCUAUGCAUAGGUUCAUGGGCGGAACCCGCAAGUUGGUCACCAAAACAUACAUCAAGUGGCACGUGGUAUCCCAUUGUCACCACAGAUAUCCACGGCAAGACAUACAUCAAGUGUUCUCAAAUCUUUAAAGACUCAAUCCAUAAGAUAACUUCAAAGGGGAAACUCAAUUCAUUACAAGAGAGAAGAGGGGGAGGAGAAACAUAGGAUCCAACUAUAAUAGCAAAGCUCGCGAUACAUCAAGAUCGUGCCAAAUCAAGAACACGAGAGAGAGAGAGAGAGAGAGAUCAAACACAUAGCUACUGGUACAUACCCUCAGCCCCGAGGGAGAACUACUCCCUCCUCGUCAUGGAGAGCGCCGGGAUGAUGAAGAUGUCCACCGGUGAGGGUUCCCCCCUCCGGCAGGGUGCCGGAACAGGGUCCCGAUUGUAUUUUGGUGGCUACAGAGGCUUGCGGCGGUGGAACUCCCGAUCUAUUGUUCGUUCUGGAAGUUUUAGGGUACGACGAUAUAUAUGGGUGCAGGAAGUACGUCGGAGGAGCCACGGGGGCCCCACGAGGCAGGGGCGCGCCCUAGGGGGGUGGGGGCGCCCCCCACCCUCGUGGGCAGCCCGUGUCUCCCCUGACGUGCACUCCAAGUUCCCUGGGUUGCUUUCCUUCCAAAAAUAACUUCUCCAGUUGAUUUCGUUCCGUUUCGACUUUGUUUGAUAUUCCUUUUCUUCGAAACACUGAAAUAGGCAAAAACAACAAAUCUGGGCUGGGCCUCCAGUUAAUAGGUUAGUCCCAAAACUAAUAUAAAAGUGGAAAAUAAAGCCCAAUAUUGCCUAAAACAGUAGAUAAUAUAGCAUGGAGCAAUCAAAAAUUAUAGAUACGUUGGAGAAGUAUCACCCUCGUGCAUGUAGUACGGGUCAGUGACACAGAUAUGAGAUAUCUGCUCAACCCCGAUGAUGUAGUUCAUGUGCAAGGCAUAAAGGCGGACAAACGUAAAAUCCAGCUUCUUCACGUGAAACAUGUCGAAUAUGUAAUCGAAUCGGAGGAAGAACUUAUUUGCGGGGAAGUUGUCGACGUACGACAUUUGCCGUGGAACGUUAACCAUGCAGAGUGGGUAUCCUGGAUCUUUCAAGGCGAUGAGGCCUUUCUCUACCCGCAGCACAUCGUCAUGAAGUCUCCUUAGAUCGCCGAAUCUGACCCGUAGCGCUGUUGCAGGUAGGAUUGGUUGACCGGGGAUAUGCCAUUUAUCCGCAUCGGGGAUAUCUAUACGGUCCUGAAGCCGAGGCUGCUGGAUCAUAGAAUUAGCUUUUUUGCGUUUCCUUGCUCUCUUCCUAGACUUCUUUACUACCGGAAGGUCGUCCAUAAUACGUUGAGACAGCAAUUCAGGCACCGACUCAUGACGCUCAAACCCUGAGGAGGCACCAGUAUAGACAUACUGUUCAGCGCCAUCGUCGUCCUCAUCCUCAUCCAUGGCGACAUCAUCAGCGACUAAUGGAGCCUCCUCCUUACCCCGUCCGCUAUCACCCAACCCGAUACCCAAUGCUAAUUGGGUAGGUGGGGGUUGAUGUUCAUACCUUGCUGAGGCUGCAUGCUUGUGGGUGUGCUCCCGGCCGCCUCCAGACGAAGCAGACUCUUUGGCCACAAUAGGACCCACCCAUUGCAACAAUCACCAAGCCACCGAGGUGUCUCGUCGUCAUCCCCCACUAUUAUUGGAGGAGGCAAAUUCUCGUGGCCCGGUUUGACACUGGCCACGGAAACCUUGAAGACGUUCGGGGGGAUCGGCCGGCUGUGGAAUAAUGGUUCCUUCGGCUCCAUUAUCGUCGCCUUCCCCACGUCCACCUUCUGGUCCCCGAUGGUGUACGAUAUGGUGCACGGGGUUUCGUCGGCCCACAAAGAAAAGUCUGUGACGUGAGACAUCUGAAAGGCAACGAAAACGGGAGAUUAUACAUUUAUAUUGAAUGGGGCCGGUGUGACAGAUACCGUGAGGGCGUCGAGCUCAGCCAAAGAAGAAGCACCACCGAGCACGUCCGGUGCGGGAGCCGGUGCGGGAGCAGGUGCGGGUGCAACGCUAGUCGAGCUGCUCCCCAAGAAGUCAGCAAGGGGAAAGUCCUCUGCAUUUUUUUCUGGAUUUUGCCUUGUCCAAGUGAAAACGCCCGUCACCAAGGAAGUAGACAAAUCUGCAACCACCUGUUUUGCGGCGGCUACCGCUGUUGCGACUAUCUGAGAUGAUUUCUUCUCAACCGCAAUCUCAACCUUCUUGUCGAUGUUUUCUUUCGUUAACCUCUGUCUUUCCUUUCUCUCCUCCGUGGUCUCACGGAAGUACUUCUUCCACGUGGCGCCGUCUCCAACACCGUGCACGCGUCCAUACGACGGUCGAGUAUCCACCGGUUGUCGUUUCAAUAUGUUCAACGCCCGGUUGAAUGGAGUGUCCCACUUGGGCCUCGCCAAUGCCUCAGACGGCGAGUCGCUUUCGGCCGCAAUCCGGUGCUGCUCUCUCUGCAAAAGGCACAAGGAUCGUUUACAAAUAUGACUAACAUGUGCAGUCGAAUUGAUCAGAAACUAAAAUUACCAGCAGACACAUGAACUCCGUAAUGACCGGUUUUGUCUCGUAAACCUUCUUCACUAGGUCCCAACGGUGCCGGGCUCUGAGGACGUCACGCUCCUGCGGAACGGUGAAAUCCGCCAAGGGGUCUGGGAUGCCCAGACUCGCGGCUUCCGCGUCCUCCUUGGCCCAUUUGGACCUCUUUCCACCGUAACCACGGCUUUCGAGGUGGUGGCUCCCAAUGUUCCUCUCUUGAAGCCCCUUCAUGUACUUAGACUUUUUUUUGGCAGCUUCGGCCUCACAAGCCUCCUUGAAUAUUUGAAACUGCUCUUCCGUGAUUGUCGGAUUAUCCUUUACAAUCUCGGAGUAGGGUUCCUUCUUGUCGAUGAUCUUUGCUUUCACUCGAUUUUCCAGGCGGCCAACGCGUCGCUAAACUUGGUCAAUGGCGUGUUUGUUUAUCUUCUUCAUUGCCGGGUUGUCAUCUGGAUCUUGAUAAUCCUUCUCAUUCUGGCCCGGGAACAAGAAUAUCUGGUGAAACUUCUUUAGGACGGAGCUCCUCAUAUUUUCUAUCUUCUGUAGUUUCUCAUCAUUGAUGGUGGCGGUUGUCUGUACGAUGCAGCCUAUUUGAUUGCCGAAGCAUCAACGCGCUUCCUCGUGCGCCUUUGGCUCAAAAUUUCCAUCAUCCACCUCCGUGACCACCAUUCUAGUAGUCCUGAGUUUGUUAGGAAGCCGUUGCCUCUUUGCUUUCAGUUCUACACCGGCUCCGCUCCCCGAGGCAGCGCCGGUCUCAGUCUCAGCGCCGGUCUCAAUGCCGGUCUGAGUCUCAGCGCUGGUCUCAGUCUCAGCACCGGUCUGCGUGUCGGUCUCAGUCCCCGAUGCCACCGGUGGGCCCAACAACAACAUCGGUUGAUCGUCGGCAAGGCUAAAAAAAUCGUCUGCCGCCCGGUAGACGUCGUCGCAAUCACCAGAACCCUGUCCUUCAUCGUUGCUAGCCAUGUUUCCUAUGAUUAAAUCUAGUCAAUUAAUUCUAGACCUAAUAAAAUGAAUAAUGACAUAAAAAAGGCCUAUUGUUUUGCAGGAAUGUUGACUCCUUCCUGGUGCGGCAAAUCCCGGGCACUCGAUAUGUCCUAGUUUGUAGCACAAGUCAUGCCGAAAUUCACAGAAAAAUUCGGCACGACCUUUGCUAAAAAGUGGACAAAUCGAGAACCUGAAAUUUGCCGGAACAGAAAUGAAUCAACAUUCCGGCAAAACAAAGGCCACUCGGCAUCAUUCCCUGGAAACAACAAAGCCACUUGGGCACAAUCGAACAACUUCAAUGGAAAGAUAUAACAUGAGCAAACACUAUUGAGGAAUUUGCAUAUAACAUGGCCACUUCAAUGAAAAGAUAUAAUCAACAAUAAUGGAAUAUGCAAAUGAACAUCAAUGACAUAUAUCAUAUAAAAACAGUCUUGUUUUUUGUUUACAUAGCAACAAUUAGUUUGACCAAGUUUUUGAAAAGAAAAACAAUUCAGUUUUUUGUUUAUAGCUAAAUGCCAUAGCUACUGUUUUUUAUUUAUAGCUAAAUACUUUUGUUUUUUGUCUAAAGCUAAAAGUCUAGGAACUCCAUUUUCUCUAACCCUUCUGACCUCACCAAAAUUUCCACAACAAGACCUUAGUACCUACACCCAAUUUCUUAAAAAAUAUUUAGGUCCAUAGUCCAAAUAAUUCAAAUUUCAUUUGAAUGAAUUUUGGAACAAAUUCAGGUCCAUAGUCCAAAUAUUUUUUUAUAGAUAAGUUUUUUUUUGUUUAUAGCCUCUGUUAAUUGAAAUCUGAAUGCUACUAUUAUUCAUAUACCCUCUAUUAGUUUAAAGCUAAAUGGAAUUACUGUUUAGGCAUUUUCAUAAAAAUUGCACUAGCUAAUUUCCUAAAAAAUUGCUAACCAUUUUUCCUAAAUGCUAUAAAAUGCCUACUGCCCUAAAAAAUCUAGGGUUCAUAUGAACAUCAACACAGUAUCAACAUAUAUAUGAAUUGCCCUAGCAGAGAGAGAGAGGAGGGUAGGGGAUAGGAGAGGCAGAGCCUUACGGUCGGCGGCGAGGGCAGGCUCUGGCUCGGGUGGCGGCGGUGAGGUCGAGGGCGGCGGCGGUGAGCUCGAGGGAGGCGACGGUGAGGUCGACGAUGGCCUCGGGCGGCGGCUGUGAGGUCGAGGGCGGCCUCGGGCGGCGGCGGUGUGGUCGAAGGCGGCGGGCAGCGGCGGUGUGGUCGAAGGCGGCCUCGGGCGGUGGCGGUGUGGUCGAAGGCGGCAGGGCGACGGUGUCGAUGGAGCAGUUGGGGGACAGGGGGCCGGGAGUAGAGAGGGAGGAAAGGACUUAGCGAAAUUUUGAGCCCGGGCUGCCGGGAUUUGUGUCAAACUAGCAGUAGCACGUUUUGCCGAAACGCGCUAUAGCUAAGAUAGCUAUAGCGUGUUCCAGAGAAACGCGCUACAGCUAUUCCUUUCUGUUUUAUUUUUAUUUUUCUUUUAGUUUCUUUACAUUUUCUUUUUUCCAUUUCUCCUUUUUCUAUUUCUUUUAUUUUUUUAUUUAUUUCUUUUCAUAGCAGUAGCGCUCUACAACAUAAACGUGCUGCUACAAAGUUUUUAGCAGUAGCGUGCUUCUAGGUGAACCGCUACUAUUAUUCCUAGCCUACCGGCAUUAGUGAGGGAAUUUUAGUAGUAGCGCUUUUCCGUGAAGACGCGCUACUGCUAAAACAAUGGUUGUAGCGUGGUUUUGCAACAAGCGCUACUACUAAGUAGCGCUAGCGCCGAGUUUUGACCAACGCUACUGCUAUACCUCUGUGUAUAAGGUUUUCCCUAGUAGUGUAGGUCCAUUGGGGAGCAAAAUCAGAGCCGAUUGCAAUAUGAGUUCUUUGUUUUUGUUUGGGGUUUCUUCUGCAAGAUGCAUAAUCUAGUUCAUAAUUUUGAGUUUCCUUUGGAUCCUGUUUAUAAAUUGUACUCGCAUGCUUAUCUAAUCGAUAUUAGGUCUUAAAAAAGAGUGAAAUGGUCUAUUGUCCGUGUGUUACUCUAAUUUGUUGUAGGAUAGCGAUGAUGAGCAAUAGAUUUUUAGAAAACGAACCUUACUAGGAUUUUUAGGAGAUCUGUUUUACUAUCUUUUUUGUUAAGAAUAGGCUUAAGAAAGUCUUGUCUGGUCCUUGAUUAGAUUUUGGAUAUUUAGAGCAUCUACAACCGCCAUGAGCAAAUCAGGCCCCUCAAACGCCUGCGGACGCACCCGGAGACAUCCGCCCGCACUGACCGGGCAUGCCUCAUAUUUGCCACUCUGCAUACAUGUAUCUCAUAUUCGGAGCCUUAUCUCCAUACUACACAUGCAACGUUGAUCUACUCUACAUGAUCAAACGAUGGACAAUAAAAGUCGGCUGCAAAGGAACAUAAGAUCACUGCAAACGGACAUUAACAAACUUGGGCACAUCCAAAAGAUCAUAGUUCGUCACCGGACAAGUUCUUAAACCUCUACAACUAAAACGAUAUAAAAAUGAGGACAGAGGGAUGAACAUUUCCUCGCCGGGCCUUUGCCCUUCCGGUCGCCGGCGCAGCUGUAGGCGUUAUUCGUUAGAUCUUACAUGGAGAUCCAUGUAAAAUUUCCUUUUAAGUUUUUUCUUUCUUCUUUAUUAUAUGUUUUGUCACUUGACUGAGACGUCAUUAAGUCUUAGUCGGCUGAGAUCUAGCCACACCCUUUAUUUACCUUAGCACCUGUAUAGGCAUUUUGCAUGAGAGAUAGCCUUAACAUAAUUUGUUUUCCACGACGUGUUCUCUCACAAUUUUUCUGUCAUGUACCCAACUAUGAGUAGGCAAGUAUUAUUUGUGUUUUGCUCUUACACUGCCCUCAAUGUAAUUGAACCAAGAGCCAACAGAAGGUUUCUUUUUUGGUGGGGAAGCACAAGCUUUUAUUUUGAUACACAUGAUUAAUUAUUGGAGAUAGAUACUACUAUACACAAAUGCUUGUAUCCAAUAUUUGGAUUUCCAUAUCCUCUAAGACAUUACACAAAUGCUUGUAUCCAACAUUUGGAUUUCCAUAUCCUUUAAGACUUUGCACAAAUGCUUGUAUCCAAUAUUUGGAUUUUCAUAUCCUCUAAGACAUUUCACAAUAUUCCAAUAUUUGGAUUUCCAUAUCCUCUAAGACAUUACACAAAUGCUUGUGUCCAAUAUUUGGAUUUCCAUAUCCUCUAAGGCAUCGAAUGCAAAGCAAAGAGGAGUGCAAUAAAUAGCACUCAAACCACGUUCUUCUCCUCACACCAUCAUUCCAACAACUUAUUUUGAUCACUUGGCCAUGGCGUUCAGUGGCGCCCAGAUGCUCGCUGCCUUCACCUUGGGCUUUCUUCUCAUGGCCUUCUGUAAGUUCAUGUAGCAGAUUUUUAUCGCAAUUCCAUGCAAUUUUUGAUCAAUCAAUGAAACAAUUGCUACUAUAAUUUUAUGGUGCACACAUUAAUUCUAACUCACAUGCAGGUGUAGAUGGUCGGGUAUGCACGUCCCCUAGCAAGUUGUACAAAAGGAGCCCUUGCAAGAACAUGGGCUGCACCGCGGCCUGUCACAAAGAGCACUUCAAGGGUGGGUACUGUGCCACUAAGAAGACAAUUGUUGGUGAUGAGCUCAACGAAGACAACGAUGACAACUUCUUUCACAAACGACCUAAGAAAAAGACAUGCGUAUGUACACUUCAAUGCAGUAAAGCCCCACCACCACCGUCAGAACCUGACGUGCCAGAGCCACCGGGUGAACCUGAGGUGCCAGAUCCUAAGAAGAAGCCGCCGCCGCCAUAUGUACGUGAUGUGCCGAAGCCGCCCUCGGGAGAAAAUAAGAAGAAGCUAGUGGCAGCUGCUGACCAGUGAGCAAAUGGUCUAGCCUGCCCGUCCGUGGAAAAUGAUUUCAAUAAGACAGGAAUUAAUCAAUGCUUACUAAAGCCUACGAAACCUUCCAUCCCUAAUUAAUCUCCUCCCCCUGAAUUUCAUUGGUGGGGCAUGCGCCCUUUUCCUUUCCAAUCAAAACCUUCCACGUUAGCUCUCACGUAAAGUAUGUCAAAAGAUUUUCGUACAUGUAGC
rnacentral:lncRNA from 1 species